UUGUUUAGCUUUCUUUGCUUUGAAAAUCUGUCCGGUUCACCAUAUUAUCAGAUUUGAGAGACUAUGAAUUAUUAAUGGUUAUAUGAUCUGUUAUUUUUUGGUCGAUUUGGCAACAAGUUAACUCACCAUGUUUCCUUUGAAAUCCUUUCGAACUCAAGGAUUUGUUGUCAAUAAAUUUGAGCGACAUAUUAUGCGUAUACAUUGAUUUAAAUAAUGGGAGUUUCUUUUCUUAGAUUUUGGUGUCUGCUUGUAAUGCCUAAUAUGGUCUCUAAUGUACUGUUAAAUUUUAAUAUGAAUAGAUGCUUUAAAUUUUGCACAUUUACAGUCACCAUAGGCAUAUUAAGUUAUUAGCUUUAGCUUAAUAUGAUUUCGUAUUGAUUCUAAUUUUUGUUUCCUCUUUCUCUUUCGCAUGAACACUCUCUUAUUCGAGUUCAUUUGGACUCCCCAUCUCUUACAUAUUCCUCUUAUUGAGUCAACCUCCAUUGGAAUCGUGAAAGGGAAGAUAGUAUUGUUUGGUUAAAAUCCAAACCGAAGGCAGCAGCUCAGUAGCGAAAUAAUAAUGGUCCUAAAGGGCUGAAGUCCGAGUUUUUGGACUUAAAAUUUCAAUAAAAUGACCAGCAGUAGCAGCUGCCUCUAAAAGGCAGAAAAACGAGGAGCAAAAUUGGGUAAAAAUCCUAAAAAACAGCAGCAACAGUAGCCUCAAAGGGCUGAAAAACGGAGCAGCAGGAGCAGCCUUAAAAAGGCUGAAAAUUGAGAAUUUUUGGACCUUCGAAAGUCCAAUUUAAACAGCGACAGCAACAUCAACCAGAAGGAUUGGGACUUGGGCUGAAAUAAAUUUCAGUAGCUUCUUUACUUUCCUUAUUCCCUUAAUUUGCCUUGUCAUUGCUAUAUUUUCUUUAUUAUAUUUGAUUGGGAAAGCUAACAACUUUAAGAUCCUUUUUCCUUAACCUAGAUGAAUCGUUGGAAGGAUUUUUAUUUCAUAUUAUGUUGUUUGUUUGCUUUAAAAUUUUCAAAUUCCCAAAAUCCAUUUUUAGUUAGGUAAUUUAAGCUUAUAGAAUGACUUAAGAACCUCUCAUGUUCUUUCAUAGUUAUUUAAAAGCUUUGAAUCCAUUUUUAUAAGUUUGAACUAAACUAUUUAGUUCAAAUUUUUGAAUAGGAUAAAAUUGUUAAGUUUUUUUUUAGAAUAAACUAGUUGUCUUUUAAUUUAAAUUAGGACUUUGUAUGAAUGACUUAUGGAUCUUCAAUAUCCUUUCAUAGUUGUUAAACAAGUCCUUUAAUCUAUGUUUGUGAGUUUGAAUUAAUCGUAUGAUUCAAAAAUAUUCCUUUUUUUAAAUGGUUUUCUUAAUUUUUCCUAAAAAACUAAGUGGCGACUUCCAAAUUACUCAUUUUUCCAAACAUGUACAAUAUUGCCAAAAGUUGCGAAAUUGGUUCCGAAACCUUAGUUUUCGAAAUCAGGUCGUAACAAACACAACACUAUUUCGAUAUUGUUUUAUCAACUUAUCAAAUUUGUGUGUCAGGUUUUAUUAUUCUAACUUUAUUUUAUAGUUUUUCUUGAAAAUUUGUUGUUAUUGUUCUAUUUUUAGUUCAUAAGUAUAUAUAUUCUUGUUUUAGUUAUUAUUAAAAUUAUUCAAUUUAAAUAUGUCAACGAGAAAAUAUGACUCUGAUUUUACAAAAAGAGAGAAAUAUAAACUUGAUGAAUUAAAUAAAUCCCAAAAAGAGCCCUUGAUAGAUUUUUAAAAAAUAAUACAGUAAAAAUUUUGAAUUAAAAAAUAUUGCCUAUAGAAUAAUGUUAACAAUUCUUGUAACUGUUGCCUUAGCCAAAAGAAGUUUUUUCGAAACUAAAAUUGAUAAAAUCUUAUCUAAGAUCAACAAUGUCUCAAGAGAGAUUGAAUGGAUUAACUAUAUUAUCAAUUGAAAAGGAAUUACUAAAACAAACCGAUUAUAAAACAGUAAUUAAUGACUCCGCAUCUAAAAAGGCUAGAAAAGUAAAUUUUAAAUAAAAAUAUUAGGUCCCCUCUUUAAGGUUUGGCUUUAGACCCCCAAUCUUGUUGAGUCGUAUUAAAGACUAGUACACUACAAUUUAUGUUCAAUUUUUUUAUUAAAUUAAAGUUAGAUGAAACAAUUACUUAAGUGGAAAUCAAAUAGUUUUGUAAUAAUUUAUUAUGCGAUUUUAUAAAUUUUUGUUUAUUUGAUAAGAUUGAAUAAACAAUUGAGGCUAUUUUAAUAGUUUUACAACUUAUGGGAUUUUUAUGUUUAUGAGAAAAUAUACAACACAAAAAUUUUAUAUCGCAUGUCCAAACGAAACUUCAAUUUCAUCUCAUGAUUUCAUAUCAUGAUACCAUAUCGCAUGGCCAAACGGACCCUAAGUCUAUCCGUGAGUUUUUGCUAUCAUUAUAGGUUCCUUUUCUACCACUAGACCAACAAUAUACUCUACUAAUUGUUUCCAAAAUCUUUUUGAUUAUAUAUUUACCACAUUUGGAUACAAGAUCGAUCUACAUAAAAGUUAUUGAAUUUUUGAAAACUUGUAUCUGCUCCCAGCUUAUGGCUUUAAGUUUGAUGCCUAAAAUAACACAUAAAAAUCAUUGUACAUAUAUAGAGUCAUUUCAUGUCUUCACAUAAAUUUCUAGGGCCAGAAGAUAGGAUUAGUAAAUUGAAUGACAAUGUCCCUUCAGCAACUGGUUGACAGAAAACUUCCAAUUCAUACAAGGUGGUACCACCAACUGGGAAGGCACUGACUCCAAUGUAUACAAACAGUUUAUUAUUAUAAUAAAUAAAUUUUUACUUUUACUUACACAUUUAAUAUAUAAAAAUAUAUACAAUUUCUUUUUUUCAUUUUUUUUAUGAUUUUCCAUUCGGUGGGUGGAGCCUACAUUGGAGCCCCGAUUAAAUUCGAAUCGCGUACUGCAGAGCCCAUUUAGGGGUGACACUCCCAUACAUGAUUUUCUCCCUAUUCAGGGCUGAUCAAACCAGAGAUCUCUAGUUAAGGGUAAAAUAGUCCCACCACUGCACUACAAUCCAUGUUGGUCUUUUUCAUAUUUUACUUUAAUAUCAACCAUUCAUUCCUCAAUAAUUAUUUCCCAAAUUUUAUCAUCAUUAUACACUAAUUAAUAUAACUAUUAUGAUAAAAUAUGUAUUUAAUUUAUAAUUAUUUAAGAGAGUGUGAAGUCUGUUAUAAACAAGUAAAACUGAACGAAGGAAUUAUAAAUUCACUAACUUGCAUGUCUCUUUAAUUUUAAGGCACACUUUCCCAUACCUUGAUGUAAGCACAUGACAUAUAAGUAAAUUGAAAUUUGAGAAUGCAAAUUGAAAAAUUUAGGAAAUGUAUGGUAAAUAAUCCAAACGCAGAGGAGAAAGAAGUAAUAUACGCCAAAUUCCCAACUAAAUCAAUAGGUGUUUGACUAUAGAUUUCAAAUAUUUUUAUUUUAUUUGAAAUUUAUAAAGUUGUGAUUGGUUAUACUUUUUUACAAAUAAUAUUCAGACCGUUCAUGCUUGAAUGUACUUAAAAUACAACUUUAAAAAUGAAAAAUGAGGUGCAAAACAAGCUACUUUCUGAAUAUAAAAUUCAACUUCAAGUUGAAUUAAGAAUUUUCAUGUCCCAACAGUAUUUUCCAAGGGUGGAGCCACAUAGGGUUCAACGGAAAUUACAUUGUUUACGUAUGGUUAAAAUUACUAGGAUUUUACCUAAUCCUAUAAAACAAGUUUUUAGGUUUUUGCAUGUUUUUUCACAGCUGCCUAAUGAGCCAUUGGCCAUUGUACGUGGUUGCAUGGUAGCCCUUUUAAUGGACUUCUUUCAUGGGCUUCGACCUGGGCCUUCACUUCAAUCAUCUUCUUUUUGUUUGUUGGGGAACUUUCGCAAAUAUCCGUUAUAAUAAAUUUAAUUAUACUCUAUAGCUAUAGUUUGCAUAUUUACGGGUUGUAGCUACAGUUUAAGCUGCCUCAUUUUUAUAAAACACGGAUUUGUAUAAUUCACAUGUUUGUAUAAUUCUCGGGGUACAUUUGUAUAAUUCAGUUGUUUUUGUAUAAACUCGAAAUAACGAAGUUAUACAAUUACAAACAUCAGAAGUGUAAACAAUUAUACAAAUUAUAUCAUACAAAAUUCAAAUUAUACAAAAGUUAUACAAAUUAUAUUAUACAAAUUCCGAAUUAUACAAACGUGUGAAUUAUACAAAACUAAAAAACUGAGCCAUAAUUAUAGCUAAAAGUAGGUCGCGAAUUGUAAUUAAGGCAAACUAUAGCUAUAUUAACUAAUUAACUAAUAUAUAUUUUCUUAUACGCGUAAUUUUCCCUUAUUUCUUAUUUCGUUCUCGUUCAAAUCUUCUAUCUCAUUUCAAAAUAUAAAAAAAAAAUGAAAUAAGAUAAAAGUAAAAAAGGGUUAAAAUUGUCAUUGAACAAUACAAAAUUUUACAACUUUCUCCUCCAUUAGUAGUUGAGAUCACUUGUACUUAUGCCAUUAUCAAAAGAUGUUAAAUAAGUCUUAAUUUGCUAAUGGUCGAAUGAUAAAUUUUAAUCCUAGUAAAAUUAGAUAAAUUGUAGCAUAGGAAGCCGCCACGUGUCCCUCGCGUGACAAAAUUUACUAAUCCACUUUUGGGAAAGUUCUAGCCUCUCAAAUAACUUAAAGUAUUUACAAUAAGAUAUAUUUCUCUGUGUCGCUAGUCUUUUAAGAUAUAUUUCUCUAUGUCGUUGGUGUAAAUUAGUGUUUGCAGUGUGAUACAUCAUUUAUUUUUUUAAAAUUCAUACAGUAUUCGUUAGUCGUUAUUUAUAUUGAAUUUCUAUUUGUUUAAAUUUGUGUAGUGUAGGACACAUUUGGAAGAAACCUACUUAUCAAUUUAUUUUUCAUAUUCUAAAUUCGAAAUUUUGAGUUUUUGGCUAAAAUCAUCUCUCAGCUAUGACUCAAAUUUAAUGUACAUCCUUAUAUUAUCUAAGUGAGAAAAAAAUAUUCUUAUAAUAUCCAAAAAAUAACAAGAAUCACAAUCACCCUUCAGUCUAUUUUUGUUAAGAAACUGAUUGAAACAAUAAAAAAAAAUAUUUUUUAAUUUGUUCAUGUCUUAUUAUUAUUUUUUAAUAAGGAUAUGGAUAGAAAAUGAAUAUUUUAUUCUCAUAAUUUAAAUUUUGUGUGUUGUUAGUUUAUAUGUUUUUGCAGUAAAUUGACUUGCAACAAUACAUAAGUUUUGAAAUAUUUAGUAGGUUUCACUGGUUAGAAAGAUUAUGUAAAAAACUUAACUUUAAAAAUAUUACGUGCAACUAUUUAGAGAUUUUAUUUAAUAAAAAAAUAUAUAUAGUACAUAUAUAUUAUAUAUACAAUGCAGUUCACAUUUUAUAUAAUAUACAAAAAUACUGGAAAUUUAGUGAAAUUAUGUAGGUGUUUUGUUGUGAAAAUUAAAUAAUAAUUACUUUAUUUGAAAUUUUUGAAGUUGAAGUUGUAUUUGACCAUAUUUUUUACAAAGAAUAUUUAGAAUUUGAAUAUAUUUUGUCUGAAUAUGAUUUAAACCCUCAAUUUCUAAAAAUUGAAAAAAUCACCCAACUUGACUAGCUUAACCAUGUGUACAUAUAUUCAUUCGACUUGACACAUUUUUUGUUGGUGGCGUGAGUUUCUUCAAAUAAUAGACACAAGAAUGAAUCUUGCAACUUUUUGGAUAGUGCAAGGAUGUUUUUUGUUUACUUAUACAACAUAAGAAUGUACUUUUAAGUUUAGGUAAUACUUCAGGAAUGAUUUUAGCCAAAAACUCUUGAAAUUUCUUUAAAUUAAGAGAGAAACAACACCCCAGCAUUUUGAGUGGUACUAUAUGAUAUUUAAUAUUUUGAUGGAAAAAAACUCAACCAUUAGCUCUUUAUUAGUCACAAAAAGUCAAUAUUUGAUGAUGAAGUGAAUUUUCAAAAAUAAUACCACCAUUGCAAAACAAAUCAGAUGGGGAACUACCUUUUGAUUUUAUUUCUCCUUUUGGUCUGUGGGAUUAUUACUUCACAAAGUCAACUCUUUGUUUCUAAUCAGAUUCUUCCGCCGAGCUGUCCGGCGCCGGACCCUACACUUAAUUACCGGCCGAUCAUCGGAAUCGUGAGUCAUCCCGGCGAUGGCGCCACCGGCCGACUCAGCAACGCCACUAAUGUCUCUUACAUUGCAGCUUCCUACGUGAAAUUUGCUGAAAUGGCUGGUGCUAGAGUCAUUCCCCUCAUAUACACAGAGCCUCCCGAAGUUCUCAAUCAAGUAUUUAAAAAUCAAUCUUCCUUUGCUAAAAUAUGAUUAUUGUUUAUCUCGGAUUUAAGCUCCAGUUUGGCUGUAGAUUUAGAUAAUAGUAGAUUUGUGAAAUUUGGUCAAUUUUUGAAAAUUCAUCUACAAAAAUUUGCCCAAACCUGUUUUUGGGUGAAAUUUGACUUCCAUUCACAAAGCUUCAAUCUUUUUCCUUAGUAGAAUGAAUGUCUAAACACAACUUCAAAAACUCAUUUUUUGCAAGUUUCAACUAAAUCUAUGGCCAAACGCUAGCUAAUUGAAUCAGUCAGUCAGUACUCAGAGCUUAAGGGAGGUUUCUCAAAUCGUCGCCAAGAUAUUUAAGCAUGGAUUGAUUGGCAUUUGUUAAUUGAAUUUGUUUUUGCAGAAGCUUAAUCUAGUAAAUGGCAUUAUCUUCACGGGAGGGUGGGCCAAAGAUGGUCUAUAUUUUGAUGUUAUUAAAGGAAUUUUCCAGGUGAUUAUCUACUUUGCUUACACCUAUGUAUAGCUCUUUUUCAGUUUGAAAUGCCUCAUCUUUUAUAGGGUCUUUUUAUUGUUUAGGGAUAGCAAAGAUGUUGUGAGUCUGGGAGGGUAGAGAUGCUUUUUUCGAUAGAGGAAAAAUAGUUCAAAAUAGUCUAGAAAAAGGAGUAAUAAAAGUACACUCAAGAAACAAUAGAUAACAACAAAAAUUGAAGGACAAAAGAAACUAUAGGAGCAAUACUACAACUACUAGUAUAGAUGGAUAACAUGACAACACACUGCUACCUUCUAGCCUUCUACCCUAAUUCGUAUCCUCCGCAACCUCCUAUCUAAGGUCAUGUCCUUGGUAAGAUGAAAUUGUGUCAUGUCCUUGGUAAGCUGAAACAACAUAGCAAAGAUGUUUAUUGAUGAAAAUUGUUGUGACAAUUUUAAAUGCUUACUUGAUACUUGCAGAAAGUUUUGGAGAAGAACGAUGCUGGUGAACACUUUCCUUUACUUGCAAUCUGCUUGGGGUAUGAACUUUUAACAAUGAUCAUCACCAAUGACAACAAUAUUCUUGAGGAAUUCAGUGCAGCGAGCCAAGCAUCUACAGUACAGUUUGUGGAAAAUGUAAAUAUUGACGGAACAGUAUUUGGAAGGUAUAUUCUUAUUCUACUCAUUUAUGUAUUCGCCUUCUUUUUGUUCCAUCUCUUUCAAUUUUCUCCUUUCCUCUUCCUUCUCCAUUUUUAUUUCUCUUAGGAAAAAUGCCAGAUUACCUUAUAUUAAGGUUCUUAAAAGGUAACUAUAAAUGAUUGUUCAUAGUGGUAAAUUUAAGUGUACAUUGAUAGAAAAACAGUAAAUAGACUAAGCCUGAUCUGUUUAGAAAAUUGUAAGGCUCCGAGAUAUUUUUCCUGUAUCAUAGUUGGUAAUUAUGGAUCUCUCUGUUCAAGAAAUCAUAAUAAGCACAUGAUUGGAGAGCCUAAUAUUAUUUGGAAUACUCAAGAACAAAGCCUGGCCUUUUAUGUGAUUUGUAAGAAGCGUCACUUUAUUCUCUUUCCGUUGCUAUGUGUAAAAUGAGUUUGAUUUUGCUAAUGAUGAUGGCAUAGCGGAGAAGGAUUGUCCACUAUACAUUGCCUUCCUGCACUUUAAAAAGCCUAUUGAGCAUUUGACCUUAUAGCAUGCUCAACUCUAUAUUGAAUGAGCACUAACAGGUUGUGAAUGGGUCAGAUUUCAGUGAUAAUUCUUAUUUGCUGAUAUACAACUUGCUAUCAACUUCUAUGCAGAUUUCCCCCUGUGUUGCUAAAGAAGAUGAGUAUAGAUUGCCUUGUGAUGCAAAAUCAUCAUGUAAGUUUCAAAAAAUAGAUUUUUUCUUGUCCUUGUGUAGCACUUUUGUUUUCUAGCUUAAUUGUGAUCUUACAAGGUUUACAACACGUUUUUUUUUGUCCGGUGGAGAUCGAAGUUGCUCAUUGGUAACUCUUGAAGAAUGUCCUAAAUCUUUUAGGAUACUACAUCUAGUAAGGCUGUAUAUCAGUUUUGGGUUUUAAAAAUUUCUUCAUCCAACAUUCGAGUGUGGUCUCUGAGUUACUGCCUACAGUUCUGUUUCAGCUUGUUUCGACAAGGUGUUCAUAUUUAUCCAUGAAUAUUUGCAUCGUUCAUAAACUGUCAACAAGAGAUCAGUCCGUAGUAUGUCCCUGUGAACAUGUAAUACAAGAGAGACAACUCCUUCAGAUGAAUGAUUCAUGUUAAUCUUAUACUCCCUCCGUUCACUAUUACUUAUCAUGUUUGAAUUUGGCACACCCAUUAAGAAAACAAUUAUUGAUAUGACUAUUUACCACACUACCCCUAUUAAUUGAUCUUUAUUAUUAGGUCUUGAAAAAUGAUUUAGGGAAUAAGUAUUUAAUGUUAAGGGUAAAACAUGGAAACAAUAAUUGUCUUUUCUUGAUAUAUUAAAAGUGAUAAGUAAAAGAAAAAUCUAUCUUUGGAAUAGUGGACAAGUAAAGGUGAACAGAGGGAGUACAAUAAUACAUUUUAAGCAGGCUAGAUAUUGCACUUGUCUUUCAGUCUCAUCUUAUUUGUGUUUGCUUUCGGCCUUACUAGCACGUUAAAUAUGCUGUUAUGCUGCUGAUUAAUUGCAUGUUUCUUUAUUAAUGCAACAGUUUGGUAUAUCACCAGAAAGAUUUCAAGCGAAUAAAGAUUUGAGUAGCUUUUUCAGGGUAUUGACAACUAGUACGGAUGAAAACAACAAGGUACAUGUUGAAUUUAACCACCUUUCUUCAUUGGGAUAUUUCUGCUGAUGUUUCCAAUUGGUAUGAAAUCUAGUCGAGAUUCUAGUUGAACUACACUGUUUUGAUUAAUUCAGGUCUAUGUCUCUACUAUUCAAGCAACACGCUAUCCUAUAGCUGCUUUCCAAUGGCACCCAGAGGUAUCAUCUUUGGCUUACGACUUCGGAUUUUCAUUUCUAUCUUGAACAUACAGUGAUUUAAUAGUCGUUAGAUAUAACAAUGUGAGAUUGACUGUUUUCCUUGGAUUGAAUAGCUCAUCUUAGUGCUAACACAUGACUUUUUAUUCUGAGCUGAAAUUCCUAAUUUGAAUAUUUUUAUUGCUUAUAGAAAAAUGCUUUCGAAUGGGGUUCAUCAAGGAUUCCACAUUCUGAAGAUGCAAUUCAAGUCACUACACAUGUUGCCAACUAUUUUAUAAGGUAUACUCUUUUUGAUUUUCCGUCCAAGGAGGAGCUCAAAGGUGCAAAAUGAAAUAUCAAAUAGAACUGACAGAUAAAAAAUGUUAAUAAAACUGAUGCUUUUGUAAUAUGUAAUUUCAGGUUGAGUGCAUCCGUUGUAGCACUAGAUUCAUUUGUACUUACAGAUUUUCAGGCUACGUUUUGUUUUGGAUAUAACAAUAUAAUUUCACUAGUAGAAAGUGAAAUAAUUGAGUUGAAUUCUUAUUCCUCGAGUAUGCUUUUCAAGAAUUGUUCUUACUCUUCAAUUGAAACUGUUUUACUUCUGCAUAUUCUGAUCACUGUUAUGCUUCUAGUUUUGUGUUUUAUUUCUUUAUUUUGAAUUGCAGUGAAGCUAGAAAAUCUUCUAACAAGCCAGUGGCGCGAGAAGUGCUCGAUAGUCUCAUAUACAAUUACAAUCCCACUUAUGGUGGGAAGGCAGGGUAAUUCACACAACAAUUUCAGGUUGGUUAAAAAUUAGGCAUUGAUUUUCGGAAACUUCAUUCUUCUUUUUUUGUUUCUUGUUCUGUAGGAAGGGUUAUGACGAGGUUUAUCUCUUCACUCCGCAUUCUUCCUCGAGCUCUAUGUAGAGAAAAAAACACCAGUUUAAUUGAGCAAUAACAACUGCACAAUCUUAUUGAUGCAUAUGAAGUUCUACUCGAGAGUUGAUGUUAGUGUGUGAUGUAAACCGCGUUGCAACUGGACCACAAGCCUUAUCUUAAUGGAGAUUAUGUAUUAUUUAUGCAUAUUAAGAAACAUUUUAAAACAUAAAUACAGUGUCUUGCCAAAGUUAUUUUAGAUAUUAUGCAUGAAAUUAAACAGAGAAAUGACCAAAAUAGUCCUUAUACUGUAUAAGGUUUGGACUAUUUUAGUCCUUGAUAUGUAUGCGUUAACAGAAAUGGUCCUUAACGUAUGCAAAAAAUGGAUUGUUUUGACGUAAACAUCUAAUGCAAGUAUAAAUUUUUAAGCCUGUAAACACUGAGUGUGACAGGUAACUAGUAGCAUGAGCCAUCAUGAGGUGUGAGUACGAGUGGUGACUGCAGCUUCCUUUGUAUGGGCAUAUUAUCACUUUCAAUUAUUACAAGUACCAUGCAAUGACUGUAAAGCUCGUUUGAUAGGAGAGAUAAAUAAUAACUAAUUUUAGAAUGAGUUAUUAUUCUGCUCGUUUGUAAUCUGAUUAUGCACAAAUCUAAUAAGCAAUUCUUAACAUCCAUAUGACUAUAAAAUGUUUGAGACUUGUGAUGUUUUUAUGUAGGUUAUUAAAAUAUGUUAUUUUAUUUCCGACACAGGAAUAUGUUAUUCUCUUUGAAACGGACGAAUAUCUAAUAUUAUGUAAUAUGAGUAGUAGUUCUUCUAUAAAAACAAGAGCACCACAAUCACUACACACUCUCAUCAUCUUCUAAAUUUUUUAAAAAAAUGUCUAACUACUUCCUCAUUUCCUUUCUCACUAUCUCUCUCUUCCUUGUGGUCACCGCCAUUGAGCCGGCGGAGCUGUUUGUCCCCGCCGGCUGCCCUUUGCCUGACCAUAACCUUAAUUACCGGCCAGUCAUCGGGAUUAUCAGUCAUCCCGGUCACGGAGACUCAGGUCGAAUAAAUAAUUCGACCGGAGUGUCCUACAUUGCUGCUUCGUAUGUGAAGUUAGUUGAAUCAGGGGGUGCUAGGGUCAUUCCACUUCUCUUUGAUGAUUCUCCUCAACUUCUCAAUCAAGUCAGCCACUUUAUUUGCCUCCUUUUUUUAAAUUUGAAUUCUUAUUUAAAAGCUUUUACAUAAAGUUCAUAAAAAGAUUUAUUUGUACCCAAUAUUUAUAGUACAACAUAGUAUAUCUUUUCAUGGAGUGAUUUUUUUUAAUUAUCUAGAAAAUAUGAAAUUAGCUAUGAAAUUUAUCAGUAAUUCCUAGCUAAUUUGUCGUGAAAUAGGUCCUAGCUAAUUGGAUUGUUCAUUUAAUCCAUCGCUAAUCCAUAUCUAAAUAGAAUUAGCAUGGAAUUUUUUGUUGUUUAGCUAUGAAAUUUUGUUAGUCGCUAAUUUCUUGUUUUCUUGUGUUAUCACAUUUAUUACUUACUCAUAACAAAAUACAUAUUGAUUUGGUGUAAUUGUGUAAACACAUAUGUAACUAAUGUAAGUAAGUUUUUUAACAAUCUUUAUUACUAACAUGGAUUUUAUUUGCAGAAACUUAAUCUAGUAAACGGAGUGAUCUUCCCAGGAGGCUGGGCUAAGAAAGGACACUAUUUUGAGACUAUCAAAGCAAUUUUUAGGGUAACUAUUUACGGACUUAAGUUAUAUACAUUAUCAAUAUAGGACGUUUUACACUAUCACUGUAAUUUAACAUGUUAUAAACAUAUACAAAUAAGUUAUCAUUUACUAUGUUAUCAACUAAAUGCUCAUAAUAUAUAAUAUUUGUCUGGUUUUAAUUUUUCUACAUAUAUUUUCAUUUGGUGAUACUUGCAGAAAGUUUUGGAGAAGAAUGAUGCCGGAGAACAUUUCCCUCUCCUUGCCAUCAACCAUGGAUUUGAGCUUUUGAUGAUGAUUGUAUCCAAGGUUUUUCAUGAAUACACAUACCGAUAUCAGAAAUUUUGUUAAGGAUAUUCCUGAUUUAAUAUAUAUGUAAAAAUACUGAUCACUGUUCCUUAUCAUGGUGUACAUUGGUCACAAUAUAAACUUUUCAAACAUAAUAAGUAACAAGUUUUGUUACAUCUUUUUAUUAGGGCUUUUUUCAAGUAUUGAGCAGUUUAUACAGAACGGGAGCCUUAGUGUAACUGGUAAAGUUAUUGACUUGCAAUUAGAAGGUCAAAUGCAGAGUAAGGUUGUGUAUAAUAGACCCUUGUCGUCCGAGCCCAGAGGCGGACCCACCUUUACUAGUGGGGUGCACGUGUACUUGUUAAUUUCGGAAAAAAAUCAUGUAUAUAUAUAUAUAUAUAUGUAUAUUUAUCUUGAGAAACUGUCAGAAACUAGGAUAUAAUUAACAAUGCAUCCAUGAAAAGCAUAGGAGUGUUCAUGUGCCUUGGUACAAGGCAGAGGAACUACUCGCAAGACUAGAGUUCAAAUCCAGCUAGGGUGCUAAAUUCAUUAGCUUAGAGAUCAUAUUUGGUGCACCCUAAGUUUUCAAAUCUUGAAUUAGCCUUUGUUCGAGCUUUCCCUGGACCUCUCCAUAACGGAAGCUUUAGUUCACCGGACUGCUCAGUAGGUCUAAUAUUUUGCUGUUUCCAAUUUAUUUUUUUCCUUUGUAACAGGACAACAACAUUCUUGAGAAAUUCAGUGUAUCAAAUCAGGCAACCAAACUCCAUUUUGUGGAAACUGUAAAUAUUGAAGAUACAGUAUUUGGGAGGUAUUAAAGAUCAUCACUAGUUAUUAAUCACCAAACUAAUUACAAGACUAAUAUUAAUGACCAAUUUGAUUAAUAACAAUGCAUUUUGAUUCUUGUUUAUUUGGCUAAUAUGUUUUAUGCAGGUUCCCACCUACAUUAAUAAAGAAGUUGAGUAAAGAAUGCCUUGUGCUACAAAGUCAUAAGGUGAGCCCUUGAAAAUUAUGUUUUCACAUCUCUAGCAAUGAAUUUUGUUUUGAUAAUUCUGGUGUUCGGGUUAGCUUGCACGCAUCUCAAUUAAUUGUACGAAAUACCUACUACCUCUCACCAGCACAGAUAACAGGAAAAUUAAAUAUUUUGAUUUUCUUUUUGUUCCUCUCAUGCAACAGUAUGGUUUAUCACCAGACAAAUUUCAAGCAAAUGAUGAUCUAUCUAGCUUUUUCAUUAUGUUGACUACUAGCACAGACACACGCAACAAGGUACAUAAGUAUAUUUUCUUCCCCUAAUUUUUUUAUACAUAUUGAAUACAAUGAUAUAUUCUCUACUGAGGGUUUAUCGAAAACAGUCUCUCUACAUUUGAGGUAGGGGUAAGUCUGUCUACACUCUACCCUCGUCAGAUCCCACUUUGUGAGAUUAUACUGGAUAUAUUAUUGUUACGAUGAGUGAUCUAAUUUUCUUAAUCAAUGAAUCAGGUCUAUGUCUCUACUGUUAAAGCAGAGAACUAUCCCAUAACUGCUUUACAGUGGCACCCAGAGGUACAAUGAUGAUUUGUUCUCUUAUUCUAUUAGUACAAGUAAAGUUGUUAAGAAGGGUAAUAUAAUAUCCUCACUUUAAGACGUUUCUCGUGAGGAUUCAUAUAGCCGACUCAAACAUAUUUAAUUUUCUUCUUGUUGAAUUCAUUUGGUUUAAUUGUUCUCAUUGCUGCAGAAAAGUGCUUUUGAAUGGGGAUUAUCAGCAAUUCCACAUUCUGAAGAUGCAGUUCAAGUGACUCAACUUGUUGCCAACUAUUUUGUCAGGUACAUCACCUUUCGUUCCGAUCCCAAAAUAAAGAAUGAUAAUGCUAAAAAAGGAAAAGAGUAUGAUACAGAGGCGGCUCAAUAGAAUGGGUGACCUAAAGCCAAAAUUCAGUAAGGAAACAAGUGAUAAUUGGAGUGUGAAACUCGCGAAAAACUCUAGUUUAACAAUUACAGAUUUUGUUAAUGUUUUCAUUUAUUCAACGAUUGUAUUUAUGGUUGAAAGCUUUCACUUAUAAUGUAUUAAUGCAGUGAAGCAAGAAAAUCUUCUAAUAAACCAGAAGCUCAAAAAGUACUCGACAAUCUCAUCUACAAUUACAAUCCCACUUAUAGUGGAAAGACUGGGUAAGUAAUUCUGCAUUUUUUACAUUUCUAGUAAGCAAUCACUUCAAUUUUUUUCCAGUAAUUUGAUGUAUUUAUGUUUUUUGUCUUGCAGGAAAGGUUACGAUGAGGUUUACGUUUUCAACAGUCAUGCUGUGAACUAAGUUUAGAUGCAGAGGAAAUGCAUAUGAUCUUACUAAGAGUAUUAGAAAAACCGUGAUGGUAUGAUUAGGUAAUUGAAGAGACAUUUCAAGUUGUAAUUGAAACUAUUCAUGCUUCAAGUAAUCUGCAGUUUCAUUUCGAAAAAAAACUAGUUUAUAUGUACUAAUAGAAUGAAAUGCACAUAACAAAAAGUUUGGAAUUGACAUCCAAUUUCUCACAAUUAUUCCAGUCUCAACUCCUAAUAUACCUAGCAAAUCAACAAUAACUUAUCGAUCAAGUGUAAUUCAACAAGUAAGAUCUGAAAAGAUUGAUGUAUACGCAGACCUUACCAUGUGAAUAUUUUCUAGCAAAUAUUGGGACGAUAAAUGAAAAAAAAAGAAAAAAAGAAGGGGUGAAUUGGUUCAUUCCAAGUGAUAAUUAUAGCUUCGCCACUUUUUUAAACUUGAAAAAAAAAGGUUAUGUGGUAGAGACAACAUAUUCACCAAAGUGACUUUCUAUUUUAUUCUUGUAAUGUUGUCAACCAAAUCUUAUCAUAUUUGUUGGCUCACUCAAAACGUACUUUGGUAGUUCAUAUUUGGUACCUGCAACAAAUCAUGUUUAAUUUCUAUUAGUAAAAUAACAUUUUUUAUGAAUAUAAUCUGCGUGAUCAAAUAAAUACGUUACUCUUGGAGACAUGACGAUUAGUGGCGGAGACAAAAUUCUUAUUAAGGUAUGUCAAAAUAUGAAAAAAUAGAUGCACAUAAAAAAUAAGAGGAGUCAACAUCUAGCAUAUAUAUAUACAAUAAUACUAACAUAUUCAGUGGAAUCGCAAAAGUAAGAAUGAGUAGGGUUAUGACUAAUUAAUGUGUAUGCAGACCUGACCUCUACCCGGGGAGAUGAGAGGUUGUUUCCGAUAGACUUUCAACUCAAGUAAAAACGGUUUGAAACAUAUAACAUAUGUAUGCAUAAAACUAAAAUUUUAACCUUACUAAAUAACGUAAUUUUAAGGCGAAAGAUAUGUUUUUUUUAACAAGUACCUGAUUCAUCGUAGCAGAUGGUCAUGUCAGUGUUUUGGGCAAUAAUUCCAGCACUGUCCACAAUUGCUUGAGCUAGUUCUAGAUCUGCUUCUGCAGCAGCCCGAAGCGCAUCCCAGAUUUCUGUUACAGAGUUAAUAAAUAAAUGUCUAUAAACUCGUGUCUUAUCUGCUUUCGUAUCAUGUUGAAUUGUAUGAUCAUCACGUAUAGUCAAUAAAAAAAAACUUUUAUAUUGGUGAGGUGUUAGGGGUGGGGGUGGGAGUGGAGGUUUGAGAUGAUUAUUGUAUAAUUUACCUAAAUCACGUAGUGUUAAGAGUUAAUUACAUUAUUUUUAUAUUUUUUUAACAAAUUAUUAGUUUUUUAAAAUUUAUGGAUUUCGGAUACAUAGCCGAGGGAUGUAUCCGAGAAGGGAGGGAUGUAUUCAAAAGGAGAGGAAUAUUGUUUCAGAGAGGGGAUACGAACCGGAUACAAAGGAGAGGGAUAUAUCUGAGAAGUGAGGGAUGUAUCGAGAGGGGAGAGAUGUAUCCGAGAGCGAUAGAGAUGUAUUAGCCAAAGGGAAGUAAUAUAUCUGAGAGAGGAUUUUUGAAAUUUUUUUAAAUUGUAGGGAAUUUUAAAGAUUAUGAUAAAAUAAGAUGUAUAUUUGGAUAAUUUUUCCAUGAUUAUAUUCGAUCCAAAGAUUUAUUUUGCAUCGAACCUAUUAUACUUAGUAUAUAAUUAUGGAUUCAAACCUAUUAUUUUGUUAUAAUUUUAUUGAAUUAUUACACAUAAAUUUAUCUUUCGUGUUGAAAGUUCUAGAUUCAGAUCCAAAGAUAUAUAUCGUUUAUUGAGGAUACAAUCAAUCAAACAACGUACGCGAAUAAAAGUGUGCUCUCUCGAACACAACUUAAUUAAUUUUUUUUAAUGAGAUGAUUAGAGAAUUAUUUGUACCUUUCUUGCCACCAUAGUGUGGAGCAGUGUCCCAAAACUCUUCCCUCAGUUGCAUCAAUUGACUUCUUGUUAUUGGUUGUGGAUGCUUCCAUGGUUUUGGCUUUCUUAUUAUCUUUUUCCCUGUCCCUAAAUUCAAAUUAUUUAAAAGAAAACUAUAAUUUCACAAACUAAUUAAGCUAAAAUUAACAAGUAAAUUAAAUCAAGAAAUUAAAAAAAAAAAAUACUAACUGUUGGGCUUGACAUGAGAUGAUCCACAAGAACCCAUAGUGUUUCUUUUUUAGCAUACAAAUUCCCUAUAGUUACACACAUAAACCAUAGUGGCAUAUAACUUUUCAAAAAUUGUUAAAGAGUUGAAAUAUUCCUAAAACUGGCAAAUGAGAUGUAAGAAAAUAAUGAGGUUGAAAUACUAUAUUACUAUAACUAUGGAUAAUAACAUUAAAGAGGAAAGUUAUAUCGGUAGUUGGCUUUGAAUUGCUUUCUCGUGAUUACACCGUUUUAUGCCACUAGAUAUUAAAUUUUCACCAUGGAAGAUAAUUAAAAAUGUGAUCAACAUAAAAAAUAAAAAAUAAAAGAUGGAACUUGUUAUCACUUUUAUAUCUCAUAUACAUUCGCUUUAAUUUUUAAAAGUUUUUGGUUUGAUGUAAAACGUCCCAUUUUUGUGCAUUUUAAAAAGAAAAUUAGUCUACAUGAUAGAUAUACUAUAGUUUAGUCGAAGAUUCUUUAAAAAUCAGUAUCUCUAUCUUCACAAGGUAGCCAAAUAGGGAUAAGUCUGUGUAUAUCCUAUCUUUCCAAGGCCUCACCUUGUGGGAUUACACUGAACAUAUUGUUAUUGAUAGAUAUUCUAUGGUAGAAAUAUUACUAGAAUUAUAUCAGGUUACCGUGCAGGAGUGAUAACUGGUAAGUAAUCAAUAAUUCUUGAUUAGAUGUCUCAAAUUCAAAGCUUUCAUUAAGGAGCGGUUUGCCCCAAAAUGGAACUGCAAAAUGGAACUUCUUGGCACUAACACGAAUUAGUCAGAUUCCAAAAUAGGUACCCAUACGAAACAGCAAAACAAAUAUUACUCCAUUAUUAUUCGAUAAUUUGUUUUAGUGAUUCACAAAUAGACAAAUAGACCUGUCAUCCAUCAUUGUAGAAGUGAUAAAAAUAUCAUACUGGACGUUGACUGGUAAGAGUUCAACUUUUCACUAUUUUUAGUAGUGAUUAUCACGUUAAAACUGUCCUUGCUUUUAAUUUUCAUUUCAGUCCAACUUUCAACAAUCUCACUUUUUGCUAGAAAAAAAAAGCUCUUUUUCCAGCAUCAUUUAUACAACUGCAAAAUACAUAAAAAUGAUGAGACAGAAUUCUAUUCAAUUACUGAGAGAUAAGUUCAUACAACAUACACAAAAGUCUUAUGUAAUAAUAAUACUAACACACUUUCUUGUGAGUCGAUCGUCAUUUCGCCUGCUGGCUUCAUUAAGGGGAUAGGAAUGAGGAUUCUCCACAAGUUAGGACCAAAACUGUUUUGAUCAUCAAGAAUAUCACGGCUGUCAUCUUUCAAACCUCAGAUAUCACAUGAAUGUCUCAUCCUUUUCCUAUUACUUUCACUCCCCGGCAAGAUCGUACGCCACUACUUUAAGAUUUUUUCUUUCCUCCAGAAAAGAGUGAAGGAAAAUCUGUGAAAUUACUCAAUACAGCACAUAUGACUUGACUGACUUGCUUCCAUUAAUAUUAGAGUUACAACUUACAUGACAAAAAGGUUUGACCUUCCCUGCUUAUAAAACUAAAGUCAUUAGUGAGGCUAGUAGAGUCAUGCGUACCGGGGGAAAGAGUCUCCAUACUUGUUCCUCAUGCUGUAAAGGGCAAACUUUGGAUCCUCAUAGUUUACUGCUUUCGUUUGAUCAGCAGGUUUUGUCUCGACUCCUGCUGCUCCAACACUUGAAUCAUGUCGCCGAUGCUUGGUUCUUUCCUUCUGGCUUUUAGACCUCACGUGCACGAAUGAAGGAACCUCACCUGAGGCUCCAUAGUAUUCUGCAUACUCAUGUCGUCUGGAAGACCUGUGCUUGGUUGACAAGUUAGGGUCUUUUGAACUACUGGAUCUAAUCUUGGUAGGCUUGCCCUCGGGUACUACUUUAUCACCGACAGCUGGGACAUGACUGAUCUCGGAAGCAGGUGCUGGAGCCCUCUGCUUUUGAACUAACGGAGGUUGAACUUCAUCUUCAGGCAUGAUCAGUGAAUCUUUCAAUGGAGUUAGUCCGGGUCUAAUGAAGCUCUUGUGUCUAAGCCGCAAAGGAACGGCAUAGCCAAAAAGGGAACCCAGACCCUCUAUUGCAAGCUUGGCCAAAUCCCAGAGUAGCUGUCCAAAUGAUGGCCAGCCUGCUUCUUGUUCGUCUUUCACAGUUUCAACAACAGGGGUUGGCUUCUCCUUCAAUAAAGAAGGUUCCUGUUGCUCCACUUCCACACGUACUUGCUGCAACUAUACACGAUUAGCGAAUAGCAUGAUACCAAGCACAUGCCUGUCUUUUCAUAUAAAGCAUGAAAAUUUUAACAAUAUGACUUUUGAAGCCAUAUAAAUCUUGUAUGCAAUUCCUCAAGGAUAAACAACUCAUUCAUAAGUGAAUGUCCUGACAAAUGGGGUACUAGAAGAAAUGUGUCGAACGAGGAACUCCUAUUUAUAUGCCAAGAUGUAGACUGAACUGACAUAGUAAUAUCUUUAGGCAAUCACUGAUAUUCCUCAAAUGUACAUCCUCCAUUUAAUUUAAAAAAUAAUAGAGAUUUAAGUUGAUCUUUGAGGGUGUUCCAGCGUUUCAUUGGUAGGCAAGAACAUGAAAAUCAAUAAGAACUGGACUGAGAGAUGGAUGCUAGAAAAAUAAUCACAACCUGUAAUGCAAGAAAGAAGACCAUGGAUCAGAAUCACCUACCGUCUUGGAGCCAAAUCCUUGCUGGAGCAUGCACGCAGCAUAUCCUAUUAUAAUAGCACCAAUAACCAUGAGAACAUCUGCCACAAGUAUAAGAUGAAGUUAGAGAGCACCAAAGCGAACCAUGCCAGGCUUAAGCAACCAGUGGUAAACAUCUAAAAUUACACAAACAGAACAACCUAAUAUAGUAAAUAUUCUGUAUAUCCAUUCAUUAAUUAGCAGUUCCGAAUUUGGGCGUGAGACUAGCUAUGGUUUCUCUUCUUUCUAAGUCAUUUUCACAUCUUCAUCUGAGAGUGAGUACUAGGUGUUAAUACGUUUUUACUUGGAUCUAGCAAGAUAUGCUUAUAGAGCAGGGGAAAAGUUGGACACAAACAAGUGCAAGUAUAGAUCAAAUUUUUUUUUGACAGCUGAGAAAUCCCGAGGGCCUUCCAAUCCUGAAUAUGGGUCUAAGUUCUCGGAUUUCAGUAACAAACUCAACUCAAUAUGUAACUUUAACAGAAUAAAAGAGCCCAAAAUUUGUCUUUACUCAAGAAGAAACGCAUUGCAUCAUCAUUGAUUUUCUCAUACCAAGUUGAACUUCAAUUCACUCUGCUAAAUUCUAAACAUUUAGCCUUGAAAGAAAUGCUAGCCAAAAUGAGAUUUCAUGUAGAUUUACAACUCCAAAUGUAAGAGUCGGAACACAUUUCGUUGCUGAAAGAGAAAAUGGUAAGCACACCACGUACCCAACUGAUUUCAAAGUCAGUACAUGGAUAUACCUAGUCAGCGAAUGAUAGAGCUAAAGCAUUUGUUCAUAUCACAUACCUAUCAAGAAUACUUAACACUUACUAGAUAGUAGAUACUAUUGAUGGUAAUUGAAGAUCAAAGAAGUCAGCUAGUCUUAAGGAUUCAAACCUAUAGUUGACACUGAGCUGUACUGGUAGUCACAAUCCUCCUGACUGAGAGAAAUUUGCCUAAGAGCAGCAUUACCUCGAUCAACAACGAGUAAUGAACAAGUUGGACGAACAUAUAUUACAUCGAAGUCGCUUGAAAACUGUGCAUCUUCACUUGGCCCAUCCCUGUAUCCUGGAACAUUAGACUUUCCUCCAGCAAUUGUUGUCACACCUGAAAAUAAGAAAGACGAAGACCUUUACUUGAUAGACAAGAUCUUUCAAUCAUUUUCCUUUUACUUCCAUACAGUAACUUCACACUACUUUUUUUCAUGAGACAUAAAAGUAACCCAAUGAAGAUUAAUUAGAAUGUUAUAUGUCUCAAAACAAAGGCGAGAUGUCAAGAAUAACAACCACCUGCUUCUCCAAUCUUCCUAAUAGCCAGAUUUGAGGUAUCAGCAACAUAAAUGUUUCCUUUGUCGUCCAUGGUAGCUCCUUUUGGAUUUUUGAAACGAGCAUCACUUGGCUUCCCGUCCACAUGGCCAGUGUGACCUUGAAAUGAACCAGCAACUAAUCUUGCUCUACUAUCUGCACAGUCAGCAAUCUUAAUCAGCAAAAGACACAUAAAUCAAAAGUAAACCACGGAUCUCCAUUCGUCCACAAGACAGACAUUCUCAACCAUUUUCCAACCCAAAAAGAAGCUUACAUUGAGAUAAUGGGGGAGUAAUUCGAACGAUUUUACUAUUAAUAGCAUCAACAGCAAAGAGUUCACCAUCCUCUGAGACGCGUAUCUUAUAUGGCACAACACCAAGUUCAUUUCCUUCUACAACAGUCUCAACUAAGUAGCCUUCUUCGAAAUGAAGAAAAUUUCCAUCUGUAACAACAUAACACACAGUCAAAUUUCCAAUGCUAGUAUUCAGUCACUUUUGCUCAAAUCCAAAUUUUCAAUGUCAAAUGUAAAAUCAAACAUAAGGAAACAAAAACAAAAAAGUUAACCUGAUUGAGGAGUUUUAGAGGUAGACCUAGACCAUUUGAGUAUAGAAUUCAAGUGCUUAAUCAAAGGCCCUGAGUUGCAAAACAAAACAAAAAAUCAGUCAAAUUCUCAAAAUCAAUUGAAAAAACCCGGAGAAAUCUUAAUAGCUCAGUUGAUUGACUUACUAAACUUUCACAUUUUUCGCGAGGAUUCGAUUCCCGUAAUCCCCUCACCCAUUAUCCCUUCCCCUUCCCCUACCCUCAAUUUUUAUGAAAAUUAAAAAUUAAAGCAUACCUAUAUCAUACAGAAAUCAUCUCAAUCAUCAUCAACCAAAAAAAAAAAAAAACAAAUCAAAUUAAAUCAGAAAAUUGGGUCUUACCAGCAGGAGCAGCAGCAUGAACCUGAAAUUGAAGAUGAGCAAUAAAAAAAGCUAUCAAACUGAAAAAUAAAAAGGAAUUUCUCAUAGCUAUUUCUCCCCAGUACAAAAAAAAUCCCAAAAAGAGCACAAAGAUCAGAAAAAACAGUGAAAUUUUUUUAAUUUUUUUUUUUUGGGAUCUCUACAAAUGCAGAAGAAAGUUAAGCUAAAUGCUGUAUGUUAUAGAUGAAAAAAAAAAUCACAUUGAUUCUGCUAAGCAAAAAAAAAUAAUAAUAAAAAAAAAGCGUAAGCUAAGUUCAGUACUGUUCAGUUGUAAGAUGUACUUUGAAGCUUUUGAAUAAUUUUUUGGGGGAAUUAUGACGAAUGAGGCUAAAUAUUUAUUUUAUUUUAUUUAUUUAUUUACUUUAAUUUAGUUUUAGUGGCUUUAAAAAAUUCCACUUUUUAUUUAUUUUAUUUUUUAAAGAAAGUGCAUUUAUCGAGAAUAAUGUAAAAGAAUCGGUGGUAAAGCUUAUUUUUUCUCUCAAAAAACAAAAAAAGUACUUUUGUUUAUGAUAAUAAUAUUGGAAAAUAUUUAUGCUACUUUCACAGCUAUACGUUGUAGAUACACGCGCCUGACUUUAGUGUUGAUGAGGCCCAAUACUAAUAUGGGCCUAUAAAUUGGCCUUUACAUUGGGCCACUUUGCUGUGAAGCUUUAGGCAAUUCAUUUAGAGGUUAAAGACAAGUAGAUUAUAAUGAUCAAAUACCAAAUGUUGAGAAUUUGCUUCUGAAGAAGGUAAUAGAACUAGUAAAUAAAACUUAUUGGGACCGACAUGGGUUAUGGUGCAGUAGUGAGACUGUUUCACCCUUAACUAAAGGUCAUAGGUUCGAGCCCUAGUUAUGGAGAAACUCAUGUGUUGGGAGCGUCACCCCUGAAUGGUCCUGCAGUGCGCGAUUCAGAUUUAGUCGAGACUCCAAUGCGGGCUCCGAACACCGGAUGAGAAAGCGAAAAAAUUUAUCUAUUAGAUGCUUUAUUCUGAAGUAAGGUUAUUCAAUUUUGUCGUAUCGAGAAUCGGGUCGAGAAACUCUUUAAGCCCUGAGAAUAUUUUCAUUUUGACUAGAAGUUGGAUCUGACUAGACUAAUAAUGUCACGCGUCUCGGCUUGUUCAAUGCUCCACGUGUUAUACUCAUAUUUCGAUCAAUACAUGACUUAUGAAACUAAUUGAAGUGUGCCUAAACCGACUCAGACAAGUUAUUUUAAGAAAAUGACGUUUCACCCAAGUAUAACUUGUUCGACACAUCAACGUGUUGGCAAGAUGGAUGGAUACGUCUGAUUACUUCCCGUUUGAUUAGGGCAUGCAAAUGUAGGUUUCUCGUCUUAUCUUUGCCCCACAGCCAUUACAUCUUUGAUCAAUUCCUUUGACAUAAAUCACUAAUUUCAAUUCCUCUUUGACAUAAACCACUAAUUUAAUGACCAUAAAAGAAUGUGAUGCAACAGAUGAAGUUGUUUCUUUCUUAACUAAUGAUUUUGAGUUUGAGCUCUGAGUAUGAAAACAUACCUUAGUAGGAAAUGCUUUCCUUCGAAUGGGGUCCUAUGCAACAAGAGUCGAAAGAGUCGGACUCCAAUAUUGAUACCGGACAUUUAUGAAAAACCCAAAAAAAACACUAAUUUAAUGACGAAAGAAUUACUCACCAACUAAUCAAAUCAUGACAUUUAUAUAGAGUGGACCGUAUUUGAUUAAUUUAACCACACGUAUUAUUUUGAAUCUAAAUCUUCAUUUCAAGAUGAGAGAAAACAUUGCCCUUGACCUUUGCUCAUCAAAUUAAUUAAGAUGGAGCAGAUUCAAAAUUCAAAAUUUAUUAGUAUGAAUUUAGAACUUAUAAUAUGAUAUGAAGUUUAUUAGUAUCUAUAUCUAUUUUAUACUAUCUUAAAAGCAUGAACUUCCAAACAUGAAUAUUGAAUUACUAUAAUACCCCCAAUUAAAAAUACUCAAUUUAUUUUAUUUAUUAAUUCAAUUAUUUGUAUUAUAUUAAAAAUAGAUACUUUUUCACAUUAAGGGUUGUGAUUUUUUCAAAGAAUUGUGACUUUUUUGAUGGAUUGUGAUAUUUUCGAUGAGUUGUGAGUUUUCGAAGGGUUGUAAUUUUUCCAAAGGGUUAUGCCUUUUCUCAAUGAGUUGUGACUUUCCAAAGGGUUGUGCCUUUUCCGAUGAUCAGUGACUUUUUCGAAAGGUUCUAACUUUUUUGAUAAGGCACAAUUAGCACCUAUUCCUACUACUAUUUGUUAGCUAUAAAUAGAGAAGUUUCCUCUCACUUUUAAACUACAUUUUUUUUAAUGUUUUAUACUCUUCUUCUUCUUCUUAAACAAUCUCAAGGGCUAUUUACAAUAGAUGAUUAUGUUCAAAAUUUAACGAAAUUCGAGGUAUCACAUAAGAAAGAGUUGGUGAACAAAUUGCAGCAAAUCAUUCAACAAUUCACAUUCGAAUUUUUUCUUACGAUUUUCAUGAGUUUACAGUGACGAAAAGUUGUGGGAAAGACAACAAUAAUAAACAAAUAUGAAAAAUGUCACAUGAUUUAGGUAAGAUAUUUCUUCUUUAUUUUUCAUUUUUUAUUCUCUUACCCUGACGAAGGAGUUUCUUUCUAAUUUUGCGAAAACAACGGGCAUCAACGUAGUCCAUUGAAUUAUUUGUUUUGAUGUUAAAUCCACUAUUUCAAAAAUAGAUUUUAACUUUUAUUUAUAAUAUGAUAAUAUAGGCAUGAUAAUUAUUAUUUUUUAAUAAAUAUGUAAGUAAAAAUGAACGGAUCAAGUAAAGUGUUGGUGUCAAGAAAUUUCAAUCAAAUGGAACACUAUAGUGAAUAUAGCAUGAACAUAAAUUUUCGUCUUCCUUCUUCAUUGGCUAUUUAUUGUUCCAUGUAAUUUUUCUUUUUUAUAUUUUUACUAAGUAUGAAAUUUUUUAAGUAUGAAUUUCCUGUUAUUUUGUGUUCAUUUUAAUUUGAGAAAAUGUUAUGUCACAAGAUACACUCCUUGCUAGCUAUAUAAUAAUAAAUAAGAAAAUAGUGAUUGAUCAUAAAGUAAUCUUAAAUCAAAUUAAAGAUUCUAUAAAUAAUACUGAAUUUUAUUCAUAUAUUAACUUUUAUUAUUGUAAAAGUUUAAUAUUUUGUAUCACGAUACAUCUUCUAUAACAUAGUAGAGUUUUUAUUAGACAACAACUAUAUGAUAUGUAUGCGGCAGAGAGAAGGGGAAGACUACAAUUAUACAAAGAUAAGGUAGAAACUUAAAGAAAUUAAAUUUUUUUUCACCAAAAAUGAUGUUGUUCAUAUAUUAUAAUUAAAUUAUGCUAUUGAAAUAUAUAUAUAACAAAGAAUUGAUCAAGCUAAAUAUUUGACAUACACUCAAACCUCUAUUUAACCAUCAUUCGUUAUAACAACAAAGUACUUUUUUUUUUGUUGUUGUAAAAUUACCUCUCUAUGAUAGUCUUACUCAAAAAUUAAUUGAGUAAUAUAUUUUUUUAAAGAUAGAUUGUGUAUAAAGAUAAAAUAUUGAAAUAUUUAUGGUAAUCGUGUCAUGCACAUACUAAAUUUCAAGUAUGAAUAUUUAAGAAAAGAAAUGUACUUAAAUGGUGUUGGUUAGAUUUGCUUAAAAAAUUGAGUGAAGUAAAAAUACUACUAAAGAAAUGUCACUUUCUCUCCACAUUUAAACUUUGAUUGUAUUUUAAAAUGUUUCAAUGAUAUCUGGUCGUUUUGAUCUCAAAAUACAAGUAAGUCUAUGAAAAAUUGUAUUAAUUAUUUAAAAACACUUGUCCUAUGUUCUUUCAAUUAUAAUUAUUUACUAAAAAGUUUUAAUUUAGUAAUAUUAAUUCAAUUUUACAGCAUUAUAUAUGUGUGUGUGUUUGUUUCAUAAAUUUCAAAAUAUAUAUAAAAUUCACAUUAAAAUUAUUAAGUUCUGCUAAAUUCGUACAUCUCAUACUUCCUCCACUAGGCUUUCGACCACAUUGCCAAAAUUAGUUGAACAUUGUAUGCCUCUCGUAGAAAGAAUGAAGAUUGAAUAUAAAAUUUUGUAAAAGUGCAAUUGAUAUAGUGUCAAAUUGGCAAUGCUUAUAAUAUAGUUAACUUUAUUAAUUGGUUAAACAAUCCAUUCCAAGAGUUGCUUCAAGUAAUCAUAUAUCUUUGCUAAUAAUUAAUUUAACUUUUCAGACACUUCAAACAACAAAAUACAUUAUUGUGGUGUUUAUUGAUCAUAACCAAUGUCCUCAUUGAAUGUUACAACACCUGCGAAACCUUAUUAUAACUAAUUAAUUAUUAAUUAACCCUUGCAAGUUGCAAUUAGCAAGUGUACAAUCCAUUUCGUGACAAAUUAUGAGAAGAGGAUAUCACUUAAUUUAAUCAAUGAAAGGAAUAAUUAAGGAUUAAGAAUUAAUUAGAUGUCUGACUUAUGCCUUUCCCUUUUUAUUUAAAUAAGAAGAAACAACCCAAAAUAACUUACUGGUUGUUUUUAUUAAUUCAAGAGAAUCCAAAAUAAAGAUGGAACGUGACAUAAUUAAUCUAGUCUCUUUAGAUAAAAAAGAGACGAACAUUAUUGACAAAAUUGUCAUAUUUAAAGUUACUCAUCAGUUUAUUUUUAUUUGUCUAUACAUUUUUAUCGAAUUCUCAUAAAAAAAUCUCACGUUCGGGGAGGUAAAGUGUUUCUUAACAAAAGCAACUUCGUACCUAGAGGUUGAACUCGAGACCUCUGGUUAAGGAUGAAGAAGUACUUACCACUCCACUAACCCUUGUUGGUAAGACCUAAUGCUAAUUAACGUCAAUUAAUAUGAGUAUUAUGAUAAAAUUCUCAUAUUAAUCAUUAUUUUUAAAGAGACGUGCAAAGAUCAAAGCGAGCAGAUCGUAGGAGUUAUAUAAUAAAAAACCACAACGAUUUUUUGUGGAAUAUUAGAAAUUUCUCUACUUUUAACCAAAAAUCUUAAAUCUAUCUUUGAAAAAUAGAAUUAUUUUUAGUGUUUUCCUCUGGCUCUUAAGAAGCCUUACGUAACACGAAUUCAACCUAUUUGAGUCAAGUGAUACUGAAUAUCAAAUAAUUUAUUAAAUAUUUAUAAGAUAGAAGAACAAAUAAUCAAAUAAUAAUUCAUGAUUGUUUGGCUAUUGACGGGAAAUAGUUUCAUUUUUGGAAGGUAAAACAAUCUAUUACCAGUAAGUAAUAAAAUAAUUGUUUAAUUCUGAUUUAUGAAUAGGAUAGGCUGAAGCAAGAAGCACACGUAAGCAACCUGGCUUUUAGCUAUUGGUUAUUAUUGUAUAUUUUAAAGUAACUUUAGAAUAUCUCUUGAAAUAGUUUGUGAACAAAAAGUGAAAUUCCAUAUUAUUAUAUAUAUAUAUAAAAGUAUAAAAAAAUGGACAAGAAAUAAACGCUUAAUUUUAAAAAGAAACCGAUCACAGUGAAAGUAAGAUUGAUUUCAUGAUUUCAUGAUUUCAUCGAUUAAAUGAAAACAAUUAGGUCGAAUAAGUCCUUCUAGGCUGCUUAUGAAUCUUCGUGUACUGUUUUAUUCAAUAUUUGUUCGAUUACUUUUUUAUUUGCAAAUGCAAUAUAUACAUUAGGUUUGGUAUAUACAUUACUUUUUUAUUUGCAAAUCGACAAGUAUCUAAUUUUUUUCCAUGGGUAAAAUAAUAGAAAAAGACAUUACUCUCUUGAUUGGAAAAAAAUGACAUGUUAAGGAGGCAAAUUAAAUGGAGAAAAAAAUGAUAGAUAGCAACAGGUAAAAGUAGGACCAAUAUUUCGAAGUAAAUUACAGCAUCCAUAAAUGUUCAUAAUUGAUUGAUGACUUUACAAGAAAAAUGUCACCAUCAUCACCAAGUUAUGAAAACUACACAAGCUUAAAGAUUAGAUUUUCUUUGAAAAUUUCUUCACAAUAUUAAAUAAUCUUAAUUUUGUAGGUUUUUCUUGAACAAAAUGACAACGAAAAUGAGAAUUGUAUAAUAAAGAAUAUAUAAUUAAGUGACUACGACAAUAAAAUUAUAUUUUGAUACGACAAAAGCAACAGAUGACCAAUCAUUUGUUUUCGAAAGAAAUUGAAGAAUUUCUUAAGAAUCCAAAAAAAUAUUUAGAGAAAUGAAAGGUAUAUAUGUACAACAAAAGUAUCUCUCAUUGAUUAAAAAGAUUUCCCUUUUUAUUUCUUAAAGAAUAAUCAUUUAUUAUGUUAUAAAAGUCAGUAAAAGAAAAUUCAUUUGAGCAUGUGAGAAAUAAAAUUGAAAGCUAAAGAGAAAAAAUUGUCUUCCCUCCAUGCAUUGUCACUAUCAUCACAAGAUAUGAGAACUACACAAUGUUAAAGAUUAUAUUUUUCUUUGAAAAUUUCUUCACAACAUUAAAUAAUCUUAAACUCUAGGUUUUCUUGAACAAUAUGACAACGAAAACGAGGAUGGUAUAAUGGAGAAUAUAUUAAAGUGACUACGACAAUGAAAUUAAAUUAUAAUGUGACAAAAGCAAUAAAUAAAUUAAUUAUCUGUUCUCGAAAAAAUCAAAGCAUAAUCCAAAUAUUUUUUUUAAAGAAAUGGUAACGAAAGUGUCUCUCAUUGAUUAAAAAGAUCUUCCUUUUUAUUUAGUAACGACUCACCCUUUAUUGUGCUUGUAAAACCUAGUAGUAAUAAAUUAAUAAUAUCUUCGCCUAUAUGAUACAUGAAAUUGGAAGUAAAAAUAAUGCAUGCACAUAAAAUAUACUAGUUUGCGUCUUAUUGCCAUAUAUAAUGGUCAUCAAGUUAGAAUCAUCAUUAUUGUUGGAAUGUAACGCUCUAUUAUCUAUUCAUGCUAGUUUUAAAAAAGAACGUUAAAGCCUAACUUUAAGACAAAAUGAUUUUGUUAAAUCACUAAUAAGUUGAAUUUUCAUAAACUAAAAAUAGGUGUUUAGUUAGAUGUGAAAAAAAGAAAGGAAUAAAAUACAAGUGCAUAUUUUGUUUUAGAUUCUCAUCUUCUUUGGACAGUGUCAUUGCCUCAUUGGGAUUCGAUUUUAGCUUAAGACAACAUAAUUUUCUCUUACUCACUCCGUUCAUUUUUACUUAUUCACCGUACUAUUUUUAGAUAUUUACUAGUAAUAUUUAUUCAGUUUAUAAAAUACUCUCUCUGUCGUCUUUUUGUUAUGAUUUAAUUUUGUAGAGUCAAAUAAUAAAAAUUUUGAUUAACAUUUUAUAAUGUAUUUUUCCGUCAUAUUGAUAUGCAAAAAAAUAUAAUUUAUACUACUUUAGUAUAGUUUUUAAAUAUCUAAAUUUUUAGUUUAAAAUAUCGAAAUAAUGUAAUCUAAUUUAACUUUGAAAAUCAGUCAAAUUGACUUUCGAAAAACGCAACAUGACAACUAAAAGGGGACGGAGGGAGUAAUGAUUAAUAUAUCAUUUUAUAUUUAUUUUACCCUUACUAUUAAAUACUAUUCAAUUUUCAAUUUCUUAGAUUACUUAUAGUAUUUAAUAAGGGUGAUUUGGUAAAAUUACUCCUAUACCUUACUAUUUCUUAAUACAUGUAUUAAGAGCCCGUUUGAAUUGACUUAAAAAAAUAGUUUUUAAGUCAAAAAUAAAAAGUCAAAUUGAAAUGACUUUUAAGUCAAAAAAAUAAAAAGUAGAGGAAAACCUACUUUUGAUUUCUAACUUAUUUUAAGUCGUUUUUUACCUUGCCAAACACUUCGUAACUUAUUUUAAGUUUUUUUUAUAUUUGUCGAACACUUCCAGAAGUCAAAAACUGACUUAAAAGUAGGUUUGACCAACUUUUAAGCCAAUCCAAACCCCCUCUAAAUCUUCUCCAAUUAAGUUCUUCAGUUUGUAGUUUAUAAUUUGAUCAAUUUAUUCGUUUUGCUACACUUGUUGAAGAAACUAUAUAUAGACUUUCAAGGGAAUUCCAAUUAAUGCCUUGCUCUUUUUAGCAUCAAGUUGUCAAUUUAUAUUACAUGCCCCUUCUUGUACUACCAUUAAACAGUUUGUUAAUAAGAGCUGUGAGCUUGAAGUAAUAUUAAGUAUUUUUUUUAAAAAAAGAAGAAGAAGAUAGAAAUGAUGCAUGUAUUCUCCAAUACCCGCACGUUACAAUUGUAUAUUGUAAAACAAUUAUGAGAUACCAAAUAAUGACAAAAUUGACUAAUCUACUAUGUAUAUUAUAAAAUAUAUGAAAACAAAAUCCAUAAUAUAAUAAAAUAUAUGCACGCUUGUUCUUACCUUACAUAAAGUUAUAAUGGAAAACUAUUAUAACACAAAAAAAGUAUUUGAUUAUUUUUAAUUAUAAUUAUAAUUAAAAAAUUAUAAUUAUAAUUAAAUGAUAUUGUAUAAGUUAUUAUUUAGUUUUAACUUUUAUGAUUGAAUUAAUUGAUUUGAUUUAAAUACGAGUAAGUAUUUUCUUUAUUUUUAAUUGUCACGUUACAGUUUUUGGGACUCAAUUUAAUUAAUUUUUAAAGAUAAAAUUGAAUUUCAUUAAUUUACUAUUUUAAGCUAAAAAUUUAAAUACUCAAAAUUACAUAAUUUUCUCCAUAUUAAUAUAACAAAAAAAAAUACAGUACAUUUUAAAAUAUCAGUCUAAUUUCAUAUCAUUUUAAAUGUUUCAAAAACCUCCACCUUAUUGUCCUCCUCCUGAACAAAUACACCUGUGUGAAUAACGCGGUGCGUCAGUAGUCAAUAUCCAAUUACCAAAUCACCCUUUAUCCAGCUAAGCUCCUAUCCAUACAAACCCACGUAAAAUUACCCUCACACUUCGGACAAUUCCGUCAUUUAAUUCGUCCAUAAAUUGACCCAACCAAAAAAAUCUGAGUAUUUUAUUUAAAUUCCCAAUGCCUUACUAGUUGUCCAACACCCCCCCAUUUUCCAUGGUCCUUUUCGUCUUUUUCCUCUUACCCUCUUUCUCUCCACAAUUUCUCACUUAUUAACUCUCUACUAUUUCUUCUCCCUCGAGCUCCGAUUUUUUCUCUGUUCCCUAAAACCCCACUAAUUUUGCAAAUCCAUAAACAGUAAAAAGCACAAUCAUCAUCAAAUAGACGUUGAAGAUUCUCAAUCAUUACUCUUAUCGCUCAAUGCCAGCUUUCUACUGAUACUGAAAUCUUCAGAAGGUAACAUUUUUUUGAUUUUUUUCUUCAUAUAUGUGAUAUCAAUGAACAUUCGUUUUUUUUUUAAUUUUGAAUUUUUUUCCCGAUUUCUUGGUUCAUCGAUUUCGGUAUACAGAGAGAAAAGAGGUUGUUCAUGAGUGGUGUUUUUCUGCUUCAUUGAGAUUCGUACACGAAACCUGAAUUUUCUUCAUUUUUUUUAAUUUUUUGAAUUAUUGAUUUUGGUAUAUAGAGAGAAGAGUGGAUGAUUAUACUGUUUUUGUGCUUCAUUGAGAUUCGUGCACGAAAUCUGAUUUUUCUCAAGUUUUAUUGAUUUUUGUAUCGUUGAUUUUGGUUUACAGAGAGAAAGAGGUUGUUUAUGAAUGGAGGAUUAUGGUGUUUUUGUUGUGCUUCAUUGAGAUUCGGGCAGGAGGCGUGAAUAUUCUCCAGUUUUUUUUCUGAAGGUUUCUCCCAAAAAAGGUGAGUAGCUUUGAAUUUAUUUUUUUCUGUGAGAUUAAUGUAAUACAAAAAAUGAAUGGUGAUAUGAUUAAUUGAUUAGUGCUAGUGUAUAUAUUUUAUUCUGCACUCGCGUGUAGAGAAUCAGUAGUUAUUUGUGUGCCUUGUAAUGAGGGAGCACGUUUAGGUCUUAUUGUUGUGUUUGUUUCACUGUAUGCGACCUCACAGUAGCUUAUCCUGUGAUUCUCUCCACUAUUGUUUGUGAUCACGUGACUUGUUGCUGGGAUGUUUUAGCACCUGAAAGUGGUGUCACGUGACCUGCUGCUACUGUGGGUAAACAUUUUCUGGAAUAUUAGCUUUUGAAAGUUUUGUAUGUUGGAUUAUAUUGGGCACGAUUAUCGAGAUGGCAAAGCAAGUCCAACGGGCAUUUAUGUGCCUUUGGUUGGUGUGUGUAAUCAGAGUUCUGAAAGAUCAUCAGGGCCCAUGUGAUUUUUUGCAGAAUGCUGAGUGACGUGUGAUGAAAUUACUAUAACAAUGUUAUAGCAUCACAAUUUGUUUGUGUUAUUUUAACUUGACAUAUAGAGUUUACGAAAAUAAAAAAAACACUUUUUUUUUUAUUAUCGUGGUGUCCCAUCUUUCACCCAUCUCGAUUAAUUCAAUGGGGUACCUGCCACAUCUCACUUGUAACAGUCACCGGCUAACUUUAUCCACUAAAGCUUGGACAGAUGAAAAGAAUCGCCUAGUGUUUUUUGUCUCUGUUGAGUUUCAAAUCUUGAGAUUCGGGGUUCUCAACCACAUCAACCACUAGACCACACCCUUGGAUGCACAUAUACUUAAUAGUUUUGGUCUUAAACAUGCCACAAAAAUAUGCUUUUAUUGUUGUGCUCUUAAACGUGCCACACGAAAAAUGUUUCUUCUUUAUUACUGCUACGUGGGUCCGUAACUGUACCUGUUCAUGCGUGGUGACACGUCUAAAGUUGCAAAAGUUUGGAAGGAUAUUCAGUACUUUUUUUGAGAGUUAUUGGACUAUUAACUAAUGUAGUACAAGCAUUAUUGGCUCUGAGUUUUUUUACUUGGAUUGGUUUUGUGGUUGGUGUUGGUCAAAGAAUUUUAAAAUUGGAAAAUUAGUGUGUUGAUUUUACUUGGUGUGAAUGCUAUGAGCACAAAGUCUUGCGUGAAUCAUGGUCUAAAUGUGCCAUGGGGGUGGGGGAUGCGUGGGGUGAUCAUUAUCCCAUUCUUUUUGGUUCACAACUGUCUAAGAUGGCUUAUUUGAGUUAGAAAAUCCACUUGGUGUAGAUCCUUUCCCACUUAAGGCAAUCUCAUUCUCACGCGAAAUCUAAAAUCUCUGGUUAAGAAUGGAUUAUGGUUAAGAACAUGUCUAGAUAGGCUUGUAGUUUUUCUAAUGUAUGACAUUUUGGCUUAAGAUAAGUGCUUAAAACCACUUUCUCGUUUCACCUUAACGCUAACGAAAAUGUUUAAAAACUAUUUUAGCUUAAAAAUAUUUAAAUUAGUCCAUUCAAAAGAGCUCCUAAAGCUAUUAGGGUUCAGCCAAAUUUAGUAGCUUUAUUCCAAAACUCGGUAUUUUUAUCAAAAUUUCUACUAAAUAUUAACAUAAAGUAAAUUAAGAACCCAAGUACUAAUGCUUUUUCCAUUUUAAUUUGUUUGUCCUAAUUUGAUUUGACAUGCUGUCUAAGAAGUACUUGAUAUGGCGAUCCUAGAAUUUAGAACUCAUAAAUUCAAAUUUUGGUUUUGUUGGUUUGCAAUUCUUAUUUUUAUUUUUUCAUGUUCUCCAUCCCCAAGAUUUUAAAGGUCGGCAAUCUUUGCUGUCCCAUAAAGAUCUUUAACAUGUAGUAUCUGUUAAUGAGGUCGUUUUCAAAUGAUUCUGUCCAAAGAUUUACUUUUUAAGAGUAUUCAAGAGGGGCAGGGGGGGGGGACUGAAAAUUUAGCAAUAUAAGUAUUGGAGUACUAUUGCUUGGGGACUUAGGAGUAUGGGAUUUCAUCCCUAUGGCAAAACUGCAUUAAUUCAUUAGUUGGUAGCGUUUUUAUUCUAUGAUUUGUUGUCAUCUUGCACAUUGAUGUGGGAAAUUGGCGAAUAAAGGCUAUUGAGUGGGAAAUUUAUACUAUUCUUUAAGUUAGGCAGAGGCUGAUGAGUUUAUUAAUAGUUUUGGGUCAAAUCAUGCCGUUUCUACAUUAUUGAAUAGUAUAUUAAUAUUGCACUGCAGAAGUUCUUUAUGUUCUCAGCUAACCAUUUUUAUAUCCAUGUCUUCAAGUUGCUAUCUUGUAUCUUUUUGUUCUAGUAUUAUAUAAAAAAGCAUUCUUGAACUUGUAAUGUAGACGUGCCUUCAGUUUUUCUUCUAUCUUUCUGUUCACAUUUCUCUUUUUCUUCCAAUUAACUCUACUUUUUGAACUUGCAAAAGGGAGAUUGAGAGGCCACAGGGCAAUACUCAAGUAGAGAACAAAAAGAAAUUCCAAUUGCCUUUAACUAACCUCGAUUCAAGAGUUAAAGUGUGUUACUUUUUUUCUUUAGCUGUAACAUGCUAAUCAUUUGGUAGAUAGUCGUCGUUGCCAUCAUUUCAUUCCUUUUUCUCUCUUUAAAUGACACUGUUAUUGGCAUUAGCUGAAAUGAUUAUGUUGCUCCAACCUAAUAUGGUAUAAUAUCAACUUCACAACCUCAUAUUUGCUUCAGAUGGAUUCAGUUAAUCGGUCUGCUGUGACCCCGAGUAAGAGUAAAUUGGCUCGUACGUUUGCUAAGGUUUUGCACAUCCGAUCUCUAACAGGAGGAAACCAGAAGCCAAAAUUCAGUGAACAUGUUAAGGAUGAUGUCGUAAAGAAGGAUUUAGUGAAGAGUGAGUUACUCAAGAAAACACAGUUUAAGUCCUUCAAUGAUGAAGAUGAAAAGCAUCAGAAAGCAGCUGCAGAAGCUUUUCUUGCGAAGCUGUUUGCGAAUAUCUCAGCUGUUAAAGCGGCAUAUGCCCAAUUGCAGUUUGCUCAGUCUCCAUAUGACCCUGAUGGAAUUCAAUCUGCUGAUGACUUGGUGGUGUCCGAACUGAAGAACUUGUCUGAAUUGAAACAGUGCUUUGUAAAGAAGCAGUUCGAUGAGUAUUCCCCAGAGAAAACUCACCUUUUGGCCGAAAUUCAGGAACAGAAAAGUAUUUUGAAGACAUAUGAUAUCAUGGGAAAGAAGCUGGAUUCACAGCUCAAAUUCAAGGAAUCAGAACUUAUGUUUCUUCGAGAGAAACUAGUCGAGGCUAAUCAAGAAAACAAGCUGCUUGAGAAAAGAUUGAAUGCCAGCGGGCCUGUGUCUCCUUUGGACAAUCUUCACUUUUCAAGCUUGAACCCCAGCCAUUUUAUCAUGUUCCAUCGGCAGACAAUUAGGUCUAUUCGAAGCUUUGUUAGGUUGUUGAGCAAGGAGCUGGUAGAUGCUGGGUGCAAGUUAGAUGCUGCAGCCAGUUCCAUCGAACCCGGUAUAGAGUUCUCGAAAGCAAAUGACAUAUAUUACGCCUUUGAGUCAUUCGUUAGCCGAGAGAUGUUUGAUGGUUUCAAUUAUCCAACCUUUUCCAUCUCAACCGAGCCUCUGCCCGAACAAAAGAAGAGGCAAAAGUUGUUUUACGACAGAUUCACUGAGCUAAGAUCCAUGAAGCCUGCUGAUUACUUAGCCUGGAAACCCAAAUCAACAUUCUCAAUAUUCUGUCGUGCCAAGUACCUGAAACUAAUCCAUCCCAAGAUGGAAGACUCCAUUUUCGGCAACCUGGAUCAAAGAAACAUACUCAUUUCAGGUGAGUAUCCCGAGUCAACUUUCUUCUCCGCAUACAGCGAUAUGGCUAAGCGCAUCUGGUUACUACACUGUCUAGCUUUCUCCUUCGAUCCCAUAGCUUCAAUCUUCCAAUUGAGUAAAGGUACUCGAUUUUCCGACGUUUACAUGGAGAGUCUGAAUGAAGAAGCGUUCAUAUCAUGGGAUGGAUCACCAGAAACCGAACCCCGUGUUGGCUUCUCGGUGAUUCCCGGUUUCAAGAUAGGUAAAACUGUCAUUCAGUGUCAAGUUUACCUGUGUUGAACCCCCCAUAGAUGGUAAAUCCAAAAGCAGCAUCAGAUUCUUUCCUUUACAAAUGGACCCACAACACAACGCAUCAACGAUAACAUUGUUUUUUUAAUGUUGUGAAAUGGGAACAAAGAAACCAGAAUGAUGGAGGAAUUUAGAAGGGGGGCAUGGCAUGGCUGGCUGGCUUUUCAAUAAAGGGGAAAGCGCGUUGAUGAAUUUUUGUGUCUUGUGGAAACUUGGAAUAGUGUUUACCAAAACACUGUCUUUGUUUUUUUCUAUGUUUUGUUUGGUUGGAAAAUGUUUACUAUUACUAGUAGUAGUAGUACUAGUAAUGUUAUUUUAAAGUAGAAAAAAUCAUUCCUCCAAUUUUGUUAAUAUUAGGAGAGGAGUGGUGGAAGAAUCUUAGCUGUGUACAUUAUUUUAUUAAUAUGAUUCGGCUAAUAUUUUAUUGAUAAUAAUGUUUGUUUGUGUGUGUGCAUUUUGGAGUGUUGCUUCUACAUUUUGGUGGGUGAAAACCUUUUUAACCAAAGAAGGUUUUUUCAUAUCUAUUCCCAGAGUUUUGGUUUUGAGUCCUAGAGAUGGAGUUUUAUUGGGGUAAAAUAGUGUUUUGCAGGACUAGAAUUGAAAAUAGCCUUAAGUUGCUUGAAACCCGCACCACCUACCCGAGCAACAAUUGUGCUCACCGGGUAAACUUGAAAAAGAGGAAUUGAAUUCUAUGAGAUUAGCUCUCUUGUAAGAGCGGUUGGCAGUUAAUCGAUUGGUCUGACUUAACAAGUAUGGUUAAGGUUUGUGUAUACUAUAUUCUACUCAAACUCUAUUUUAUUAUUGUUGUUAUUGUAGUUUGAGCAACAAUUGUGCUCACCGGGUAAACUUGAAAAAGAGGAAUUGAAUUCUACGAGAUUAGCUCUCUUGUAAGAGCGGUUGGCAGUUAAUCGAUUGGUCUGACUCAACAAGUAUGGUUAAGGUUUGUGUAUACUAUAUUCUACUCAAACUCUAUUUUAUUAUUGUUGUUAUUGUAGUUUUAGUGUAAUGCAAAUAUCGAAUAUCGAGUAUGAGAAAAAAAAAACGACUUUUUGUGGGUUGAAGACGAAUAAAGGUUGAGGUCAUAGUUCACACCGUCCAUUUUCUUAGUCAAAAAGAGUGGACGAUUCCAUUCUAGUAUCAAAUUCAUCCUUUACUAGUUUUUGCUACGCCUUUUUUGGGACUUAUAUAGAUCUGAAUUUAAUUAUUAAUAUUCACAAAAUAGUUUAUUAGAAAAGUAUAUAUCUAAGGUUAUAAUUUGAGUGGUGAACUGAUCCUAUCAACUAAUGAUAGCAAAUGGGUGAGUUGAAUAAAAAGUAUUCAAUUAUUGGAUCUGGGUUAAAAAAAAGAAAGAAGGUAAUAUAGUGAAUAUUCUAACAAUUUUUUUGAUGUUUUUUGAGAGUGUUUUGUCGUGCUAGGUCACCGCAGCUCAAUAAGCAGGAAAUUUUUACCUAAAUUACAUCCAAAUCAUCUUAAGUUUAGUGUUCAACCUCUAAAUAUUAUUUUCACGCCUUAAAGUAAUUUGUUUUUCUAAAUUUUAAGAAUGAUCACUGAAUUUAUCAAAGCAUUAAUCAAUUUAUUUAUUCAAUAUUUUUUUUAAAAUGUGAUGCAAUAUAAGCAUACAUAAUGGAUAAACAAAAAAUAAUAGAGAAAUAUUUACGACUACAAAAUAACAAAAAUAUGGUCAUGUGCUAUAAACAAUAUUGGGCCGAAUGACAAGUCUUGAGGUUAUGUCACUUUUGUGUAUUAUUGAGUUAAGAGUCUGACUCUCCUCAUCUUCCCUUCAAAUCUCAUGUGACGUCUUCCCGUAAAUUCGAAUGAUGAAGACACCCUGUGUGUGUUUUGUGUGGAGAGAAAUAUUUUUCAUCCAAAAACAAGCUCUUUAAAAACAAGAAAAAUGACAUAUCGGAUAAAAAUAAAACUCAAAAUAUUUUCUUCGUUAGUUGUCAAACUAAAAAUAAAAUGAAAUAAUCCACUUAUUUUCUAUGGAAUUUUUUUUUCUUCAUAAGAAUAUCGUUUUUUAUUUUAUUGGGAUAAGGGUCUGAAAAAUACUUCAACUUUGGUCGAAUUUGCUGUUGUGAUACUAAAUUUUCAUGAGGACCUAUUAUCUCCCUAGACUAUUUAAUACCGAUUUUUUACCCCAUGAACUAUUUAAUAGUGUAUUUUAAAGGUAUAUAUGUGCCCACGUGGACACAUUACUAUUUAUAAUUUUACAUUAUUUUUUAUGUCCACGUGGGUAAAUAUAUAUGUUUAAAAUACGGUAUUAAAUAGUCUAGGGAGGUAAUAGGUCCUCAUGAAAGUUUAGUAUCGCAACAAUAAAUUCGACCAAACUUGAAAUAUUUUUCAGUCCCUUAUCCCUAUUUUAUUGUUGGAAAGUCUUAUUUGGUCGUCCCAAUUUUUAUAUCUAACUUUCUUCCAUGAUAAUGACACCAUGCAAGAGAUCCAAAGAUCUGUUCAAAGCCAAUAUCAAUAUUACAAUCUUCGUAUCAAUCUAUGUGACAUCAUUUAAUUACAAAUAGAUCUAAGUUAUGUGGUGAUAAAAAAUUCUCAUUAAAAGUAUAUACAACUAAAAUUUUGUUGUUAAAUUAUUUUUAAUUAUAACCCCUUUUUUGAUAAAAAAGGAAAGUAUGCCACGUGGCAUUUCAGAUUAUUCUUUUUAUUCAACCCUCGAAAGAAAUCAAUAAUCAUUCUUCAAUUUUUCUCUAACAAUCUUGAAGCAAUGAGAUAUAAUUUAACUAUGCCAAAACGAUAAUUGCCAGGUUAUAUGUAUACUACUACAUACAGCAUUCAGUUAAACAAUUGGAAUAUUUAGUCCAUGCACUGUAAAAUAGAUAUAAUAACAUAUAGAUAAAGAAAUCUCAUUAAUUUUAUUAAUGAGUAUAUAAAUCCCUUAAAAGACUCAAAUAAUAUAUUGUACUUAGUUAUAUUGCAUCCCACUACAAAUCAGAAUUCACCUAAUCCCAUUCCAGGACCAGGUGGGCUAGAAUGGCCGGCUCCAGGACUAGGGCCAGGAUUCAAGUUGCCAUAAACAUGGCCCAUUCCAGGACCAGGUGGGACAGAAUGACCGGCUCCAGGACUAAGGCCAGGAUUCAAGUUGCCAUAAACAUGGCCCAUUCCAGGACCAGGUGGGACAGAAUGACCGGCUCCAGGACUAAGGCCAGGAUUCAAGUUGCCAUAAACAUGGCCCAUUCCAGGACCAGGUGGGACAGAAUGACCGGCUCCAGGACUAAGGCCAGGAUUCAAGUUGCCAUAAACAUGGCCCAUUCCAGGACCAGGUGGGACAGAAUGACUAAAAGCGUGGCCCAUUCCAGAACCAAGUGGGCCAGAAUGGCCUGCUCGAGGACUAGGGCCAGGAUUCAACUUGCCAAAAGCGUGGCCCAUUCCAGGACCAGGUGGGCCAGAAUGGCCGGCUCCAGGAAUAGGUCCAGGAUUCAACUUGCCAUAAGCGUGGCCUAUUCCAGGACCAGGUGGGCCAGAAUGGCCGGCUCCAGGACUAGGGCCAGGAUUCAAGUUGCCAUAAACAUGACCCAUUCCAGGGCCAGGUGGGUUAGCAUGGCCGGCUCCAGGACUAGGGCCAGGAUUUAAGUUGCCAUAAAUGUGGCCGAUUCCAGGACCAGGUGGGCCAGAAUGGCCGGCUCCAGGACUAGGACUAGGAUUCAAGUUACCAUAAACGUGGCCCAUUCCAGGACCAGGUGGGCCAGAAUGGCCGGCUCCAGGACUAGGGCCAGGAUUCAACUUGCCAAAAGUGUGGCCCAUUCCAGGACCAGGUGGGCCAGAAUGGCCGGCUCCAGGACUAGGGCCAGGAUUCAAGUUGCCAUAAACAUGACCCAUUCCAGGGCCAGGUGGGUUAGCAUGGCCGGCUCCAGGACUAGGGCCAGGAUUCAAGUUGCCAUAAACAUGACCUUCUUUGCAUGGGGCCGAAGAAGCCAGGUUAGUGACCUUCUUCUUAUCCAUGUUGUUCAAUUGUCUUCUUGCUUCAAAACAUGGAGCAACACAAACUAACAUAGUAACCAAAGCAAUCAAAAGCAUAAAUAUUGCAAAACGAGCCAUCACUGAUCGGAGAGUGAUGUCUAGUUAAAUAUUGGGAGCAAAAAGGAGAAAAUAAGAAGUAAUGUAAGUUUAUUAAGAAAAGACAUGUUAUUUAUAGACAAUAAAAGACAAAACGUUUAAGAAAUCUAGACUAUAGUUCAUUAAUUAGUAAUAAUUGAAAUUUUAGGAAAAAGAAGAGUUUAGCUUUGGGUAAUCGUGUAGGUACAAAUGAACUAAACUAGAGAGUACUAAGUCGCCGGUGUUUGCUGUUCCCAUUGCUUAUUGGACCUCUUGCUCUACGUACAAUAUUAUGGUUGUAUGGAUAGUGAAUAUAUGUUUACUUCAUUUAAUUUUAUUUAUUAGUGGGGUUCAUGUUUACCCGUUGUAAAAAAUAAUUUAUUUUGUCAUAUUAGAUAGUUUUUAAUAAUAAAUUUAGUUGAGUGAUUUUUUAAUACAAAACAUAAAUCGAAACACCCUUGAAUUAUAUGAAAAUUGAAGUUGUAGCGAAAGUAAUUAAUCUCCACUCCAAACCAAGCAAUUAAAAUUAUCUUAUAAAUCACAUGCAAAAUUACAUUAAAUAUUCAAUUAAGAAACACAUGGAAAAUACAAAUUCACUGUAUAUGAUAUACAUACAUGUUCCUUUAAUGAUCAAUGUGCAUUUUCUAAACCCUCUUCGUUUUUCUCUAAAUUUAAUUUUUAGUUUUUCGAGAUUCAAAAUUUAUAUUAGAAUUAAAUUAAAUUAAUUUGAAUUUAUGUUGUGUAAAUUUGUUCAAGAGAAAAUAUUAUUUAAUAGGAUUUUUCCGUUGUUGUCACGAUUUGAAUGUGAAAUCUCUAAUAAAUAAUAUUUUCUUUAGAGAACUUUUACCUCACUGACAUAAUUUUGUUGGAAUUUUUCAGAUUCAAGAACAAAGUGAAUGAACAUAUAUUCAUCAUAAUCCACACAACCAUAAAAAAACGUAGUUGGCUAGAUAAAUUUAUGUCAUAUAAACCAAAAUGUUUUUAAUCCUACGGAUUUAAACAUGUCAUGUGAUGAAAGUAAAAUAUUGUAAAAACUUUAAUGUAAAACAUAAGAUUGAAAAGACAUUUAUUUUCUUAAAUUUCAUGGCAAGUCAUCCAAGUGAAUUGAACAUAAUCAAUUUUUUUACAGACAAACUUAAUUAGUUAAACAAAUAACCUUAUGAUAUUACAAUAAAAAAAUAUACACUAAUACUCUAAUCAAAUUCCAAAAAAAAUAAAAUGAGUGUAGAACUUUUAUUUUGUUUCGUUUUUAAUGCUUUUUCUAUGAAAAUCUGUGAAAUCCUUAAAUUUUUGGAAUAUAAUACAUACUUAACUUUUUUCGCUGGAAAUGAUAAUUGUAGAGCAGGAAAUUCCAUAUGAUACUCUUAUGGGAUUUAUGUUUACGUGGUAUAAAAAUAAUUUAUUUUGCCAUGUUAGUUUUUUUUUAAUAACAAAUUUAGUUUGUUGAUAUAAAUAUAUAAGUUGAGUGAUUUUAUUGAUUUAAAACAAAAUUUAGUGACAUCGCUAGAUAAAUUCUCAAAAUUGAAUAACCUUUUGAAAUAUUAACUCGAGAUUUACUCCACCAAUCUUGAAGCACUUGAUAUAAAUAAAUAAGUCAAAUCAAUGAUUCAUGACAUGUUAUAUGUAUACUAUUCCUCCAUUCACUUUUAAUUGUCAUAUUACGUUUUUUGAAAGUCAAUUUAAUUAAUUUUUAAAGUUAAUUUUAAUAACAUUAAUUUGAUAUUUUAAACCAAAAAUUUUGAUAUUAAAAAACUAUUGCCACAACAAAUUCAAUUAUUAACGACAAAUGACUUCGUUACUUAUAAAUCAUAUUUUGUCACUAAAGAUCUUGUGUGACGAAAAAAAAUUCGUCAUUCACUCGUCACUAAAAGUAUACUAAGACGAUUUAGUAGUUCGUCGCUAAAAAAACUAUAUUAACUACAAAAGGAAAAAUCACCCUGAAAUGUAUAAACAUUUAUGACGAAUUUAUUUGUCAUAAAAAGUAAUAUUUUUUUGUAGUUAAUAGAAUGAUUUUGUCACUAAAAAAGUUAUUAACACCGAAUAAAGUAUAUCAUCGCUAAUUAUUUUGUUCAAUCAAUGACGACACCAAUUGUUUCUAAAGUUAUAUGUAUUUCGUGGUUAAACAAAUGUAGUUUCGUCACAAACAAAUGCUUUUAUUAAUUUUUUUUGGAUGACAAGGGAAACCCGUAGCUGCUACCCUUUGGGUGCGCACAGGGUAAAACUCUCGCUCCUAUGCAAUAACUCGCAAAUCACAUAGGAAAGGUAACCCACACUAGGCAUGCCCGAUGCAACGAGCUCGACCCAGAAGGCAAACCCCUUGCUUUCGUUGGCAAGGGAUUUCGAACUUGAGACCUCCAACAUGAAGUAUAACAAUAAAUAGAAGAGUGUAAUUGAUAUAUUUAUUUAUUGUACAAUAUUAAGAAAGUAGAAAAAAUUGAGGAAAAAAGAUAAAUAAAAAUCCUUGGCCAAAGAGAGGUGCAACUUCGUUUUUCUAACAUAUAGCUUAUAAUAUUUGGAUUUUUAAGCACAACAAUACUAAUAGCUAUGAAAAAUGUACCAUAUAUAAUAUAUCUUUCAAUCAUAGAAAAAUUUUAGAAUAUUGAAAUCAAAACAAUACAUUGCAAUAAUGAAAUUUUAAAUUAUUGAAAACAUUCAAAAUUUAUAUUAAUAGGACCAUCUCUCUUAAUUAAUCUUUAAUUUCGACAUAAUUAAGUCUCUUUCUUCAUUUUGAUGAACUUGUACUAAAUUGAUGUGAACAUCUCUUUAUAAUGACCUCUUCGAGAACUUGGGGUUGACCUCAAUGGAGGAUUACCACCAUGGCCCAUUCCAGGACUAUGAAACGAUUUAAACUUGCGAUCAACAUUGCUAGUUUCAAGACUAGGAAUUGUUAUAACAUGAUGUUUUUUCAAUUGUUUUCUUGCUUCAAAACAUGGUGCAAGACAAACUAACAUGAAAACCAAAGCAACCAAAAACAUUGUUGCAAAACGAGCCAUUGAUAAUUGUUAAAAUAUAGAAGUAAUGGAAUGAAGAGAAGUGUGAGUUCAUUAAGAAAAAAAGAAGUUAUUUAUAGGCAACAAAUUAUAGAUGAAAAUGUUUAAGGGAUGUAUCUAGAAGUGUAAUGCUCAAAUUAGGUCAAUAGUAAUAAAUGAAAUUGUAAGAAAAUAGAAGUGUCUUGGAAAGUGUGUAGGUACACAUGAAAACGUCAAUUUGUCUUGGAAAUUGCUUGUUUUACUACUACCUCCAUUUUAAAUUAAUUGAAUUGUUGAGACAUUUUUUAUUUUUCAAAUUAACUUAAUUAUUUAAUUUUCUAGAUUACUUUUAGAACGUUCUUCUAAUUUUACCCUUCAUUAGUUAGUAUUGGAAUUAGUUAUUUAUUAAUAUUUAAUUAUUUUAAUCAUAAAAUUAACAAUAAUUAAUAAGGAUAAAAAUAAAAAGCUAUGUCUAAUUUAUCUCUUAAUCUUCUUUUCUUAAAAGAUGCGAAACACCUCAACAAUUCAAUUAAUUUGAAAUGGAGGAAGUAUUAAAGUAGAGAAUUAGGUCGCGCUGUUAUGAAAAAUAUAUAUAUUAAAAAAAUUAAAUAUUAUACGAGAAAGAAAAAAUCAUUUAUAGAAAUAAGAAAAUGCAAAAAUCACAAUACAAAUAUUUUUAUAGAAUUAGAGCUUAUGUGAAUUACAUUUUUAAUAUAAAAUAUUUUUCAAAAUUAAAAGGCUAAUUUAUUAAGAAUUUUUUUAUAUAUAUUUUAAUGUAAAUAUAUAAUUCGAAUAAACAUAUUUAAGGACUUGCUUUUUUUUUUUAUUAAAUUAUAAAUGUAUUGUCUGAUGAAUCUUCUUUCAAUAAACAAAAAGUGCUGAAACUAAAAAUAGGAGGAAAAAGAUAUAAGUAUUUAUAUUUCAUUUCUUUUUUGAAAUUUAAUUCUUCCAUUGUCUUUGUUUUUUCUCUUAAUUUUCAUCAUCGUCUAAAUAAAUAUUUUUCCUCUUAGUUUUCAUCAUCAUCUAAAUAAAUCUUUAUUGCUAAUUUUCUUGUAUAUCUUAUAUUAUUCUUUUGGUAACUCUUUAAAAGUAGAUGAAAUGAACAAAUUAUAAGAAAAUGUGAAUGGUUCUUCACCAUACGAAACACUUAAGAACUGCGUAUUUCAAUAUUUAAUAUGCAUUUCUUUUAGGAAAAAUUGUAUAAAAUAGCAAACUAUUAAUUCAAAUUAAAUGUUAUAACCACAAUUUGAUUUAAUUGUAACCUGUAGCAAACAGUUGUCAUUCGCCUCUCUCCCAAAUUUCUCGCUUGUCACUCUCAUUUCUCGCUCGCCAGUCUCUCCCUCGCCUCUCUCACUUUAUACAAACACAAAUGUAUAAAAUUCGUUUGUAUUUGUAUAAAGUGAGAGAAAACUGUAUAUACAAAUACAUAUAUUUUCGUCCUAUACACUUAUAAUUAUACAAAUACAGAUUUUCCCCUGCCCAGUUCUCUUUUGCCUUUCUCUCUUUCUCGUUUUAUAUAGACACAGAUUAUACAAAUUACAAUGCAUAAUAUGUGUUGUAUAAAGCGAGAGAGAGAAAUUUGAUAGACAAAUGUUUUAUUUCGAUUCAAUUGUAUACAACUUCAAAUUUUAUGCAGAUAUACAAACACAUAAAAUUGAAUUGAGGGGCUGUCAACGAUUUAUACAAAUGAGAGGCUACCAACGAUUUAUACAAAUGAGAGGCUGACAUCGAUUUAUACGUCUGAUGCUCCAUAACAAUCAUAAAAUUUGCUAUGAAGCGCAAUUAUACAAACUAUAACUAUAACAUACAAAUAUGAUUUUUAUGUUUGUUAAAAUCAAAAAAUUACUCUUUCUUUUAAGCCAUUAGCAGUAAUAUUCAAACGUAUGCUAGCUUAGUUAGAUGUGUUAUGUCAAAGUUAAAAAUAACUAAUUUGAGCCUAAAUGAAAAUGUAAUUUACUACAAUAAAUUUUUUUUAUAAGAACCUGAAUUCAAAAAAUAUAUAUCUCGAACAUAUGAAAAAAUAAGUAAAAAGAGAAAAAUAACAACACAUUUUUGUAAAGACCUUAGUCACAAAAAGAAAGAUGAAAAAAAAUUACAUAAUCAAUGCACAUAUUUUUGAAUUUUUAUCUGGCUCCCAUUUUAUCCACAUCCAAGGGUCUUUUCAUGGAGUCAGAUUAAAGUAUAAAUCUUAUACUACAACAAUAAUAUAGAAUAUCACUAUUUUAAAUAUGAAUAAAAAUAAUAAUCUUGAGUAGAGAUAUUAUGAAACAAAAAAUAUGAAUUUAUAUAGACAAAAUUUAAGAACUAUCAUAAGGUAUCUUAAAUUUUGAAAUUAAAUAGUUGGGGGUUGUGAAUAUGAAAAUUUAAAAAAAAUGGUUAAUAAUAUUAAUUAAAGUUGAAGUUCAAUAGGUAUAGUAAUGGAGGUAAAAAUUCUAAAAUAAAUAAAAGAAGGAAAAAAUAAAAUAAUGAAGACAAAAAAAAAACUAAUGAACUAUUCAAUGUUUGUUGGGUGUUUAAUUUUUAUUAGGAAAGCGAGUAAAUCAAUUUCAACUUUCUUGUAUUACUCCAUUGUGCUUAACAAAAUUGAAAGAGGAAAAAAAAUACAAAAAAAAGAAGAAGAGACAAAUAUCUUGAAAGGUUGAAGUAGUAAAUAUUGAGACUUUUAAUUUUUUAUAAUACAGAAUAAUAAUGAGUGCAAAUGUUUUUUGAGACAUUUAAGUAUAACAAUAAAUAGAAGAGUACAAUUUAUUUAUUGUACAAUAAUAAGUAAGUAGAAAAAUAUGAAAAAUUAUCAAAAAAAUUGAGGAAAAAGAUAAAUAGAAUCCUUGGUCAAAGAGAGGUGCAACUUAGUUUUUCUAACAUAUAGUGUAACGACCUGAUUUCCGUCGUUAUGGAAAAGCCAAAUGGAGAAAAAAUUGGGGUUAGAAAACUUUUUCGUUGUAAUUGGAUUUUCCCAACCUAAUCCAGAUUUGGACGAAAUCGGAGUCAUUCAGGUGUAGGGAAAUCUGGUAACAAUCGGGUGAAUCAUUUAUGAUUUUGAUUACAUGAGUUGUUAGAUAACUCGUUAAGGAAUCCGUACGACUUUACGGAAUUGAAUUCGGGCGAGUAGAACUCCCGGAAUCGAUCUUAGUGUAAAGGGUAUUUACUGAGUGUCGUGGGUUAGAGGUGUGUUGUGAAAUAAGAAUUUUUGAAUUCUUGAAAUAACUCUUUGUCUCGAGAAUGUCGCUUUGGCGGGGCCGUUGUGGUGGGGUGGUGGUCGUUGUGGCGGGUCCGACACGAAUUAAAGUCGUUAAUAAACCCCUAAACGACCUCAUUAUGCACUUUUCCACUUUUAGAGCUAAAGAACGACCUCCAGACGACUCCUACUCAUUUUUCACCAUUCUUGAGGCUAAAGGUAAGUUUUUAACUCCCCAAAUCCAUAUUUUGAUCCGUAGAACGUAAUCUAGUAGGUCAUUAUCGAUGGGGGAGGGUUUUGAUCUAGAAUUUAUGGUGGAAAAAGCCCUAAAUUGGGCAGUAUAAUCUUGGGUUUGGUCUAGGGUUAUUGGGUUUGUUAUAAUCCGGAUAAUUAGACCUUUGAUUCAUGAUCCUUGCAUAUAAAUUGUUGUUUGUAGACCUAGAACAAGAGGAAAGAAUCCGGAAAGGGAAGAUUCAAGUGCCUUAGGGGAUUCAAGCUUGGUUUCGAGGUAGGUGAUGGUUGUUAUUCUAUUAUUGUGUGAUGUAUGUUCUCGUUUCAUUAUGAUACAUGUUUGUAUAUGUUGUAUUAUUGAUCACACUUGUUGUAAAUGAGGAUAAUUGAAUAAUUGUAUGCCAUGAAUCACCUCUUGUUGUAUGAUUGUGAGAAUAUACAUUGUGAUUGUGGUUUGUUGAAUGGGCGGGUGUCACGAUCCGAUACACUAUUGGAUUGCCACGUUUCGACAUACAUAUGGGAUCUGCUGCCACGUUUCGGCAUAACUAACUUGGAUCGGAUUGCCACGUUUCGGCACGCUAACUGUUUGGGUUUAGGUUCCAUGAGAGGACCAUUAAAUUGGGUUCCGUGAGAGGACCCUUGAAUUGUGUUGUGUAUCUACUUUUGAUGAGUUCGUUCAUAUCUAAUGAUGAUUGAUAUUGGAAGACGGUAUGUUGCUCUAAAUUGAUAUAACUGUGAUAUGUGAGAAUCGUGAAAUUGUUCAUUGUUCGUAUAUGUUGAUGAUAUUGUAUAUGUUCGAUAUGUGCAUGUGAUUAUAUUGUUGUAUUGACUAAUGUAUGUUACACUUAGUGGGAUAGCCGUGUGAUCCUACCAGUACACGGUGGUUGUGUACUGAUACUGCACUUGCCAUUUCUUUGUUGAGUACUUGACAUCCUCAGGUGGCUAUUGAUAGACCUCAGCUAGGUGACUAUGAACGUGACCGGAUUAAAGGGUGAUCCAGUUCUUUCUGGCUGCCAUGGAUCUUCCUUGUUUAAGUCAACUCUUUUCGGACUCAGACUUUUGUUUAAGGUGUUGUUUAGUUUCGGGGUAGUACCUCUUGUUCUUCGACUUGUCGUUAGUAGUGUUUUGGUACGUUGACUUUCAGGUUCUAGGGGUUAUUCUUCCGCAUUUGUUUAGUUAUUGUUGAACUUAUGUUAGAGUUUAUGGAAACUCUAUUAUCUUUCCUUAGUAAUUGACUUAUAUGCCUUAGUUUUUAGAUUAUUUUCUUGGUUUGGGUUGUAGUAGUGGUUCUCCCACCGGAGUGUUAGUGUGGAUGUCAAUCACAACGGUCUGGGUUGUGACAUAUAACUUAUAAUAUAUGGAUUUUUAAGCACAACAAUAUCUAAUAGCUAUGAGAAAUGUACCAUAGAUAAUAUAUCCUUCAACCAGAGCAAAAUUUUAGAAUAUUGAAAUCAAACGAUACAUUGCAUUAUUGAAUUUUUAAAAUAUGGGAAACAUAAAAACUUUAAACUGAUAUGACCAUCUCUCUUGAUGAAUCUUUAAUUUCGACAAAAUUAAGUUUACUUCUUCAUUUUAAUGAACUUGUACUAAACUGAUGUGAACAUCUCUUGAUUAUGACCUCUUUCAGAACUCGGGGAUGACCUCAAAGGAGGAUUACCACCAUGGCCCAUUCCAGGACUAUGAAACGAUUUAAACUUGCGAUCAACAUUACUAGUUUCAAGACUAGGAAUUGUUAUAACAUGAUGUUUUUUCAAUUGUUUUUUUGCUUCAAGACAUGGUGCAACACAAACUAACAUGAAAACCAAAGCAACCAAAAGCAUUGUUGCAAAACGAGCCAUUGAUAAUUGUUAAAAUAUAGAAGUAAUGGAAUGAAGAGAAAUGUGAGUUUAUGAAGAAAAAAAAUAAGUUAUUUAUAGGCAACAAAUUAGAGAUGAAAAUGUUUUAAGGAAUGUAUCUAGAAGUGUAACACUCAAAUUAGGUCAAUAAUAAUAAAUGCAAUUGUAAGAAAAUAGAAGUGGCUUGGAAAGUGUGUAGGUACACGUGAAAACGUCAAUUUGUCUUGGGAAUUUCUUGUUUUACUACUACCUCCAUUUCAAAUUAAUUGAAUUGUUGACACAUUUUUCAUUUUUCAAAUUAACUUAAUUGUUUAAUUUUUUAGACUACUUUUAGAAUGUUUUUCUAAUUUUACCCUUCAUUAGUUAGUAUUCGAAUUAGUUAUUUAUUUAUAUUUAAUUAUUUUAAUAGGUCAGGUUUUUACUUAUGGCGUAGGUAUUAAGAGUUAGCAUGGUUCUCGAUCGCCACUGGUUCAUAACCAGUUAGCUUCCAUAUUUAAUUAUAUUAUUUUAUUAUCAUAUUAUAAGGUAAGUGGUGAUAUAUUGCCUUAGGUAUAUUAUAUUAUUUGAAUACAGUUAAAUUUAUGAUAAUUGGAGGAACUGAGACUCACCUUAGGCUUGAACUUUAGGAAAAAAUAUCCAUAUAUUUGGAUGAGCUUUUGAGUAUAGGCUAGACAUAAAGUAAUAUGGGUGUCUAAAAACGUGCUUACUUACGAAUUAUGUAUACUUGAUAGAUUGGAAACGUUGUGAGACAUUGAGGAAAAUAUAAACAUUGGAGAAGUAGCUUGCUUGACUUCGGCUCUUCGGUGGAGGUAAGUUAUGGUUUAUUUAAUGUGAUAGAUAGACUCUUAAUAGUGAUUGAUAGUCAUUGAGUGAUAUUGUGAAAUUUUCUAUGUACUUGGUUGUUGUAAUUUGGAUAAUAUAUAUGUUCUUGUGAUUGGUUUGUAAUCCCAAAACCAAAAAUCCAUAAUCUUGAACUUGUUCUAUUAAAGUGAUGCCUUGAAUAAAGAAAGUUUAAUGAAAUAUUGUUAAGGAAAUGGAAAGAGAUGAUAAAGAAUGAAAAAUGAGUUAAUUAUAUGGUUGGAUUGGGUGCCACGAGCCAGCACGGUAUUAUUGGAUCGGGUGUUACGUUCCGACACGAUAUUAUUAGAUUGAGUGUCACGUUCCGACACGGUAUUAUUGGAUCGGGUGCCAUGUUCCGGCACGGUAUGAUUGAAUCGGGUGACAUGUUUUGGCACGGUAACAUCAAAGGAAAAUAUAUUGAAAUAACUUAAAGUACUCAAUCUCAAAGAAACCAUUUCCCAAAUAAGCAUGGUGUGGAGGCAUAAGUCCUCAUGUGUGAUCUUGAUAUUGUUGAUUGAUUAUGUACUUACUUUAGUGUUGUUGUCACUGGUUUAUUUUUUUGUUGUUUGCCGCCUGCUAAGUGUCAUAGUUGAUUUUAUACUAUUACUCACUGCAUAUUAGUUUCUAUUUUGAGUUGGCCGAUGAUAUCUACUCAGUACAUGUUCCCAUGUACUGGCCCUUACUUGUGUUUUCUCCUUUUUCUUUUGUCUAGUUUAACAAGUGUACCAUCGACUUCGACUCUCCCUCAGCUUUUGCCAGUUUCCAACUCAUCAUAUUUCAGGGUGAGCUACUCCUUUUAGCUUGUGCUGGAUUCUCUCGGUUAUGGCAAGAUGUCCUUAAAUUUUUGACAUAGUGUCACGACCCAGAUCGUCGUGAUUGGCACCCACACUAACCUCCGGUGGAAAAACCAUUAAUACUAAUCAGCUAACCCCAAAACUGAACAUUUAAAGAUAUAGAAACAGAUUUAAAUGCAGAAAUAAAGUGGAGUUCCCAUAAACUCCGAAAGUCUAACAAUUCGAUACUAAAACAUUGCGGAAAACACCCCUAGAAUCUAAAAGUCAUGUACCAAAACAUCUAAAGUUCAACAAUCUAAGAAAAUGGUACAACCCCAACUAACAUAUGAAUUAAUUAAAUAGUCUAAGUCCGAAGGAAUGGACUAAACAAGAAAGAGAACUCCAUGGCAGCCUGAAAAAUUGGCUCACCCUUGAAAUUCGGUCUCGAUCACUAUUGUCCUAGCUGAGGUCUAUUAGUAGCCACCUGAAAAUGCCUUGUACUAAAAAAGAAUGCGCAAGUGCAGUAUCAGUGCACAACCAGAGUGUACUGGUAGGAUCACGCGGCUAUCCCAGUUAGGACAACAUAUACCAAUAAUCACAAAAAGAUGAACAUGACAUGCACAAAAUGUAAACACAUAUACCAUUAUCAAUCAUGACCAACUUACCAUUCCACAUUCUCUUUAACAAGUAGUUAUGACAAUUCAAUGGUCCUCUCAUGGAAUUCAUACCCAAACUGUUAGUGUACCGGGACGUGGUACUCAAUCCUAAUUAGUGUGCCGGACGUGACACCCGAUCCCCUAUAUGCACCGGAACGUUGCACCCGAUCCAAGUUAGUGUGUCGAAACGUGACACCCGAUCCAUUCAACACAACCACAAUCACAAUUACAUUCAUAUGUAGCUUCUCAAAAUCAUACAAUCAAGUGUUGAAUCAUGACAUACAUUUAAUCAUUCAUUCUUAUUUCAUUAGGUUUGAUCAGAAUGCUUCAUUCACGUACAUAUAUGCAUCACAAUGAAGUAAUCACCAACAUAUAUCACGCAAAGAAGAAAUCAAACCACCACCUACCUCAAAACCAAGCUUGAAUCCUCUUAAGGCACUUGAAUCUUCCCUUUCCGGAUUAUUUCCGCUUGUUCGUGGUCUAAAAACAACAAUUUAAUACAAGGAUCAAUAAACGGGGCCUAAUUACCCGGAUUACAAUCAACAUUAUCAACCCUAGGCCAAACCCAUGAUCCUAAGAUGCAGUUAGGGAUUUUUUUCACCAUCAAUUUCAGUCUAAAAACCCUCCCCCAAUAAUAAUUACCCAAGAAUCUAAGUUAUAUGGAUCGAAAAUACGGAUUAGGGGAGUAAAAUCCUUACCUUUAGACUUUAGUGCUAGAAGAGGUGGAAAAUUGUUUAGAACAUGCCAUCGUUCAUCCCUUAGCUCUCAAGAACGAAAAUUGCAGAAUAAUAACAUUUUUGGGGUUUAUAUACGACUUAAGUCGCGACUGGCGCGCUAUGCCGGACCCCAUCCCGCCACAGCGGCCCCGCCUUGGCGGUUUGAAUACCGUUCUGGCGGCUUGCGCGUAGCUAAAACGUCGGAAUUAGAGUCUCAAACCCCCAUUUCACAACACACCUUCAACUCAUGAGAAUCAGAAGCUACUCGUUCACACUAAGGUUAGUUAACGUCUUAGCUAUCUACUCAUGUGAUCAAAAUCAUAAUUAGAUCUCUCAUUCCUUUCCAGAUUUCUCUAGACCACGCUGACUCCGAUCGAUUUUGUCCAAAUCUGGACUAGGCUAGGAAUUCUCUAGUUACUGUGAAAAGUUUUCCGGUCCAAAAAUUUUCCCCGUUGGUUUUUCUAUAACGACGGGAGCAGGUCGUUACACAUAGACUAUCCUACUUAUUUAUUUUGGUAUCUUUAAUACUCUUAGACUUGUUGUUUUGAGAAUAGAUGUCCUUAUGUGAUGACUUUCAGGUUUUGAGGAUAAUAUGUACAGACUCUAGAGAUUUCUUUUAUUGAAACUUUAAUAAGAUUUUAGCUUCCACAUUUUGUUUCUUUUCGUAAGUUGAACAAUUGAUAUAAGUUGGGGUUGAAUUCGUUGGUUUUACCACUUAGGAUGUUUAGUGUGUGUGCCACUCAUGACUCGUUUUGGGUCGUGAAAUAAAUACUGAGACUUUAGUUUUUUGUAAUAAAAAUUAAUAUUGUGAGGUGCAACUUCGUUUUUCUAACAUAUAGCUUAUAAUAUAUGGAUUCUUAAGCACAACAAUAUCUAAUAGCUAUGAGAAAUAUACCAUAGAUAAUAUUUCUUUCAACCAUAGCAAAAUUUUAGAAUAUUGAAAUCAAAACGAUACAUUGCAUUAUUGAAUUUUUAAAAUAUUGGAAAUACUCAAACUUUAAACUAAUAUGACCUUCUCUCUUGAUGAAUCUUUAAUUUCGAUAAAAUUAAGUUUCCUUCUUCAUUUGAUGAACUUGUACUCAACUGAUGUGAACAUCUCUUGAUUAUGACCUCUUUCAGAACUCGGGGAUGACCUCAAAGGAGGAUUACCACCAUGGCCCAUUCCAGGACUAUGAAACGAUUUAAACUUGCGAUCAACAUUGCUAGUUUCAAGACUAGGAAUUGUUAUAACAUGAUGUUUUUUCAAUUGUUUUCUUGCUUCAAGACAUGGUGCAACACAAACUAACAUGAAAACCAAAACAACCAAAAGCAUUGUUGCAAAACGAGCCAUUAUUAAUUAUUAAAAUAUAGAAGUAAUGGAAUGAAGAGAAGUGUGAGUUUAUGAAGAAAAAAUAAGUUAUUUAUAGGCAACAAAUUAGAGGUGAAAAUGUUUUAAGGAAUGUAUCUAGAAGUGUAACGCUCAAAUUAGGUCAAUAGUAAUAAAUGCAAUUGUAAGAAAAUAGAAGUGGCAUGGAAAGUGUGUAGGUACACAUGAAAACGUCAAUUUGUCUUGGGAAUUGCUUGUUUUACUACCACCUCCAUUUCAAAUUAAUUGAAUUGUUGAGGCAUUUUUUCAUUUUCACAUUAACUUAAUUGUUUAAUUUUUUAGACUACUUUUAGAAUGUUCUUCUAAUUUUACGCUUCAUUGGUUAGUAUUGGAAUUAGUUAUUUAUUUAUAUUUAAUUAUUUUAAUAGGUCAGGUUAUUACUUAUGGCGUAGGUAUUAAAAGUUAGCAUGGUUCUCGAUCGCCACUGGUUCGUAACCGAUUAGCUUCCAUAUUUAAUUAUAUUAUUUUAUUAUCAUAUUAUAAGGUAAGUGGUGAUAUAUUGCCUUAGGUAUAUUAUAUUAUUUGAAUACAGUUAAAUUUAUGAUAAUUGGAGGAACUGAGACUCACCUUAGGCUUGAACUUUAGGAAAAAAUAUCCAUAUAUUUGGAUGAGCUUUUGAGUAUAGGCUAGACAUAAAGUAAUAUGGGUGUCUAAAAACGUGCUUACUUACGAAUUAUGUAUACUUGAUAGAUUGGAAACGUUGUGAGACAUUGAGGAAAAUAUAAACAUUGGAGAAGUAGCUUGCUUGACUUCGGCACUUCGGUGGAGGUAAGUUAUGGUUUAUUCUAUGUGAUAGAUAGACUCUUAAUAGUAAUUGAUAGUCAUUGAGUGAUAUUGUGAAUUUUUCUAUGUACUUGGUUGUUGUAAUUUGGAUAAUAUAUAUGUUCUUGUGAUUGGUUUGUAAUCCUAGACCACAAAAUCCAUAAUCUUGAACUUAAUCUAUUAAAGUGAUGCCUUGAAUAAAUAAGGUUUAAUGAAAUAUUGUCAAGGAAGUGGAAAGAGAUGAUAAAGAAUGAAAAAUGAAAUAACUAUAUGGUUGGAUUGGGUGCCACGAGCCGGCACGAUAUUAUUGGAUCGGGUGUCAUGUUCUAACACGGUAUUAUUAGAUCGGGUGUCACAUUCCAACACGGUAUUAUUGGAUCGGUUGUCACGUUUCAGCACAGUAUUGUUGAAUCGGGUGACAUGUUCUGGCACGGUAAAUUCAAAGGAAAAUAUAUUGAAAUAACUUAAAGUACUCAAUCUCAAAGAAACCAUUUCCCAAAUAAGCAUGGUGUGGAGGGAUGAGUCCUCAUGUGUGAUCUUGAUAUUAUUUAUUUGAUUAUGUACUUACUUUAGUACUGUUGUUACUAGUUCAUGUUGUUGUUGUUUGCCACCUGCUAAGUGUCAUAGUUGAUUUUAUACUAUUACUCACUGCAUAUUAGUUUCUAUUUUGAGUUGGCCGAUGAUAUCUACUCAGUACAUGGGAACAUGUAGUGUCCCUAACUUGUGUUUUCUCGUUUUCUUUUAUGGAGUCCAGCAAGUGUACCAUCGACUUCGACUCUCCCUCAGCUUUAGCCAGUCUCCAGCUCAUCAUAUUUUAGGUGAGCUACUCCUUUUAGCUUGUGCUGGAUUCUCUCGGUCAUGGCAUGUUGUCCUUAAAUUUCUGACAUAGUGUCACGACCUAGACCAUCGUGAUUGGCAGCACACUAACCCUCCAGUUGGUGAACCAUUAAUACUAAUCAGCUAACCCCAAAACUAAACAUUUAUAGAUACAGAAACAAAUUUAAAUGCAGAAAUAAAGUGGAGUUUCCAUAAACUCUGGAAGUCUAAAAAUUCGGUACUAAAACAUUGCGAAAAACACCCCUAGAAUCUAAAAGGCAUGUACCAAAUCAUCUAAAUUUCAACAAUCUAAGAAGAGGGUACAACCCUAACUAACAUAUGAAUUAACUAAAUAGUCUAAGUCUGAAGGAAUGGACUAAACAAGAAAGAGAACUCCAUGGCAGCCUGAAAAAUUGGCUCACCCUUGAAAUUCGGUCUCGAUCAAUACUCUCCUAAUUGAGGUCUAUCAGUAGCCGCCUGAAGAUGCCUUGUACUAAAAAAGAAAGAGCAAGUGCAGUAUCAGUGCACAAUUAUAGUGUACUGGUAGGAUCACGCGGCUAUCCCAGUAAGGACAACAUAUACCAAUAAUCACAACAAGGUAAACAUGGCAUGCACAGAAUGUAAACACAUAUACCGAUUAUCAAUGAUGAACAACUUACCAUUCCAUAUUCUCUUUAACAAGUAGUUAUGACAUUUCAAUGGUCCUCUCAUGGAAUCCAUACCCAAACUGUUAGUGUACCGGGACGUGGUACCCAAUCCUAAUUAGUGUGCCGGGCGUGACACUUGACCCUCUAUAUGCGCUGAUCUUAGGCAUAUUUAUAUGCCUAAGUUGUCAAUAAUUGUCCAUAAAGUUCUUGAAUUGAGGAAUGAUCUUUAGUGUAUUAGCUUGAUUUUUGUUAUACUUGUAAUGAUCGUGCACUUACACACAUGAUUAGUUGUUGCAGGAACGUUUAAGGAGCUUGGAGUCGAAUGGAAGAAAAGGAUUGCAAAGGCGUGUAGGAAUUGGCUUAUUGUGGAAGCACCUAGGCUUGGCGUACUGGUAGGCGUGCCGCGCCAGGCACAAAAGUUUUGCGAGGAUUCUCAGGCGUGUUGUUUGGCGCAACGAGCCAAUGAAGAACUGCUUGUAACAAUGCUUGGCGCUCUGCGAGACGCGCCGCGCCACAGUGCAAAGUUCUGAGCGCGUUGCCAAGCGCGAUAGAGGCACGACACGUCCCUCUUUUACCGACUUUUCCAAGUUUUAAACAUUGAAUAAGAUUCCUAAUUUGAGUAGGAUUUGUUCCCAACUUUUCCUACUAUUAUAAAUAGAUCCUUAGGGCUUCAUACUAGGGGUUCAACUUUUAAUUUAGUGUGCAAGAGCAUGAAUUCAAGUUUGGAAUAGGUUUUAAUCCUUUAACUCUUCUAUUUUCUGGAAAUUGCAUGAACUAUUGUAUUUUCUAGUUUUCUAAUAGCAUGAGUGGCUAAACGCCCUUGUUCUGGGGCUGUAUGCUACGAAUGGAUUGUUGAUUAUUAAAGGCUUUAUGAAUUAAUUCGUGGUUGUCAUUAUAAGUUAUUUCUAUAUUCUUGUUUUAGUAUUUCUUGACUGGCCAUCUGGAAAUAAAUCUAUUGUUUAACCUUAAAAUCGGGAGAGAAGAGGCUAGAUAGACUAGAGAAUAUAGAGAGCUCGAUCGACCCAUUUAAUUGAGGUGAUUUAUGUUUAGGAGUGACGCUCAGACGAACAACUUGCUUGGUUACGAAAUAAGAUGAAAUAUAAAUGCUCGUCAGUUAGUCUAUUUAUCCCCGCUCAACGAUGUAGCUAGAUAUCUAACUGGAGUAGGCAACUAGAGGUGUAUAGCCCGACUCAUACAAUUAACCCUAUAAACCAGUAACUUGACAACUGAAAUUUGGUCUAAGCCAAUAAUAUGAUACAUGAUAUUCAGUAUAUGCUGCAGCCCUGGAUUUGCCUUUUACUUGCUUGAAACAUCAUCUUAAGGUCGUUCACAUUUAGUUACGUUUAUUUAGUUCAUAAUUAGUAGUAGUUAACAAUCAAUCAUCAACUCUUGAAAAGGUUACUUUUACUGUUAUUUGUAGAAUUAAGUGUUAAAUAUAAAUUGAUCAUAAGUCCCUUGGGAACGAUAACUCGUUUCUUAAAGAAUCUAUAUUGCUUGCGCGUUCACAUACACUUGCAUGUAUAUUGGGGAGCAACAUGCGACGGAACGUGGCACCCGAACCAAGUUAGUGUGUCGAAACGUGAUACCCGAUCCAUUAAACACAACCACAAUCAUAAUUACACUCAUAUUUACCUUCUCAAAAUCAUACAAUCAAGUGUUGAAUCAUGACAUACAUUUAAUCAUUUAUUCUCAUUUCAUUAGGUUUGAUCACAAUGCUUCAUUCACGUACAUGCAUGCAUCACAAUGAAGUAAUCACCAACAUCUAUCACACAAACAAGAAAUCAAACCAUCACCUACCUCGAAACCAAACCUGAAUCCCCCUGAGGCACUUUAAUCUUCCCUUUUCGGAUUCUUUCUGCUUGUUCGUGGUCUAAAAAUAACAAUUUAAUACAAAGAUCAAUAAACGGGGAAUUAUUACCCAUAUUACAAUCAACAUUAUCAACCCUAGGCCAAACCCAUGAUCCUAAGGUGCAGUUAGGGCUUUUUCCCACCAUCAAUUUUAGUCCAAAAACCCUCCCCCAACAAUAAUUACCCAAGAAUCUAAGUUCUACGGAUCGAAAUACAGAUUUGGGGAAUAAAAUCCUUACCUUUAGACUUUAGUGCUAGAAGAGGUGGAAAACAGUCAAGAACUUGGCCUAAUUCGUCCCUUAGCUCUCAAGAAUGAAAAUUGUAGAAUAAUAACGUUUUUUAGGUUUAUUUCCGACUUAAGUCGCGACUGUCCUGCUACGCUGGACCCCAUCCCGCCACAGCAUCCCCGUGCUGGCGGCUUGCGCGGAGAUAAAACGUUGGAAUUAGAGUUCCAAACCCCCAUUUCACAACACACCUUUAACCCAUGAGAAUCAGAAACUACCCGUUCACGCUAAGGUCAAUUUGGGAGAUCUACUCGCUCGAAUUUGAUUCUAUAAAGUCGUACGGGUUCCUUAACGUCUUAACUAUCUACUCAUGUGAUCAAAAUCAUAAUUAAAUCUCUCAUUCCUUACCAGAUUUCUCUAGACCACGCUGAUUCAGAUUUCGUCCAAAUCUAGACUAGGCUAGAAAUUCUCAAUUUACUACGAAAAGUUUUUCGGCCCAAAAUUUUUCCCCGUUGGUUUUUCUAUAACGGCGGGAGCAAGUCGUUACACAUAGACUAUCCUACUUAUUUAUUUUGGUGUCUUUAAUACUCUUAGACUUGUUAUUUUGAGAAUAGAUGUCCUUAUGUGAUGACUUUCAGGUUUUGAGGAUAAUAUGUACCGACUCUAGAGAUUUCUUUUAUUGAAACUUUAAUAAGUUUUGAGUUUCCACAUUUUGUUUCUUUUCGUAAGUUGAACAAUUGAUAUAAGUUGGGGUUGAAUUCGUUGGUUUUACCACUUAGGAUGUUUAGUGUGUGUGCCACUCAUGACUCGUUUUGGGUCGUGAAAUAAAUACUGAGACUUUAGUUUUUUGUAAUAAAAAUUAAUAUUGUGAGGUGCAACUUCGUUUUUCUAACAUAUAGCUUAUAAUAUAUGGAUUCUUAAGCACAACAAUUGAUAUUGUGAGGUGCAACUUCCACAUUUAUUUUCUUUUCGUAAGUUGAACAAUUGAUAUAAGUUGGGGUUGAAUUCGUUGGUUUUCCCACUUAGGAUGUUAAGUGUGGGUGCCACUCAUGACUCGUUUUGGGUUGUGAAAUAAAUACUGAGACUUUAGUUUUUGGUAAUAAAAAUUAAUAAUGAGUGCAAAUAAUUUUUGAGCUAUUUAAGUAUAAUAAUAAAUAGAAGAGUAUAAUUGAUAUAUUUAUUUAUUGUACAAUAAUAAGUAAGUAGAAAAAUAUGAAAAAUAGGCAAAAAACUGAGGAAAAAGAUAAAUAGAAUCCUUGGCCAAAGAGAGGUGCAACUUCGUUUUUCUAACAUAUAGCUUAUAAUAUAUGGAUUUUUAAGCACAACAAUAUCUAAUAGCUAUGAGAAAUGUAGCAUAGAUAAUAUAUCUUUCAACCAUAACUAAAUUUUAGAAUAUUGAAAUCAAAACAAUACAUUGUAUUAAUGAAGUUUUAAAAUAUUGGAAACAUUCAAACUUUAAACUAAUAUGAGCAUCUCUAUAGAUGAAUCUUUAAUUUCGACAUAAUUAAGUUUCCUUCUUUAUUUCGAUGAACUUGUAAUAAACUGAUGUGAACAUCUCUUUAUAAUGACCUCUUCCAGAACUCAGGGAUGACCUCAAAGGAGGAUUACCACCAUGGCCCAUUCCAGGACUAUGGAACGAUUUCAACUUGCGAUCAACAUUGCUAGUUUCAAGUCUAGGGACUGUUAUAACAUGAUGUUUUUUCAAUUGUUUUUGUGCUUCAAAACAUGGUGCAAGACAGACUAACUAUACAUCCUCCGUCCAAUAAUAGCCAAAGCAUUAAUUAUACUCAUUUUCUUAUUAAUUGUUAAAAUAUACAUCCUCCGUCCAAUAAUAGUUGUCCACUAUACUAUUGGGAUGUCCAACAAUACUUGUUCACUUUAUAAAAUCAAUGGAUAAUUUUACAAUUAGUUCCUAAUUUAGCCUUAUCAUUAAUUAUACUAAUUUCCAUAUUACAUUUUUCAAGAUUUUCUAUUUAUUAUAUUCAAGUGGUGAUAUGGUAAAAUUACCCUUUUAUUUAUAAUUUUAUUGGGGAUAUGCCAAAUCAAUAAUGGACAACUAUUUUGGAUAGAAGAAUAUAAGAAAUGAAAUGAAGAGAGGUGUGAGAUUAUUAAGAAAAUAAUAAGGUAUUUAUAGGCAACAAAUUAUAGAUUAAAAUGUUUGAGAGAUGUAUCUUGAAGUGUAACGCUCAAACUAGGUCAAUAGUAAUAAUUGAAAUGGUAAGAAAAUAGAAGUGUCUUGGAAAUUGUGUAGGUACACAUAAAAAUGUCAAUUUGUCUUGGGAAUUGCUUGUUUACUUUAAAUUAGAGAAUUUGGCAUCGCUUCGUGUAGUUAUGAAAAAUAUAUAUAUUUUAAAAAUUAAACAUGAUACAAGAAAUAAAAAAUCAACUAUAGAAAUAAGAAAAUGAUAAAAUCACAAUACAAAUAUUUUGUAGAACUAGAGCAAUUAUAUUUUUAUUAUCAAAUAUUUUUUAAAAUUAAAAGGAUAAUUUAUUCAGAUUUUUUAUAUAUAUUAUAAUGUUAAUAGAUAUAAUUCGACUAAACAUAUUUAAGGACUUUAUUUUUUUCUCAUUUUUAUUAAUUGAUAAAUGUAUUGUUUGAUGAAUCUUCCUUUUAAUAAAAAAAAGUGAUGAAACUAAAAAAUAGGAGGAAAAAGAUAUAAGUAUUUCUAUUUCAUUUCUUUUUUUUAUAUUUAAUUCUUUCAUUGUCCUUGUUUUUUCUCUUAUUUUUCUUCAUCGUCUAAAUAAAUAUUUUCCUCUUAUUUUUCAUCAUCAUCUAAAGAACAAAUUAUAAGAAAUUGUGAAUGGUUCUUCACCAUAAGAAACACUUAAGAACAACGUAUUUCAAUAUUUAAUACGCAUUUUUUUUUACCAUUAGUAGUAAAAUUUAAAUUUAUGUUGUCUUAGUUAGAUGUGUUCUGACAAAGUUACAAAUAACUAAUUUGAUCCUAAAUGAAAAUGUAAUUUACUACAAUUAAAAAAGUUAUAAGAACCUAAAUUCAAAAAACAAUAAAAAUCUCGAACAUAUGAAAAAAAAAGUAAGUAAAAAGAGAAAAAUAACAAUACAUUUUUGUAAAGUCCUUAGUCACAAAAAGAAAGAUGAAAAAAAUUACAUAAUCAAUGAACAUAUUUUUGAACUUUUAUUCAGCUCCCAUUUUAUCCACAUCUAAGAGCCUUUUCAUGGAGUCAAACUAAAAUAGAAAUAUGAUACUACAACCAUAAUAUAGAAUAUCACUAUUUUAAAUAUGAAAUAAAAAUAAUAAUCUUGAGUAGAAAUAUUAUGAAACAAAAAAUAUGAAUUUAUAUAGACAAAAUUGAAGUAAUAUCAUAAGGUAUCUUAAAUUUUGAAAUUAUAUAGUUGGGGGUUAUGAAUAUGAAAAUUUAAAGAAAAUGAGUUAAUUAUUAAUUAAAGUUGAAGUUCAAUAGGUAUAGUUUAUGGAGGUAAAUUUUUUAAAAUAAAUAAAAGAAGGAAAAAAUAAAAUAAUGAAGAGAAAAAAAACUUAUGAACUAUUCAAUGUUUGUUGGGUGUUUAAGUUUUAUUAGGAAAGCAAGCAAAUCAACUUCAUCUUAACAAAAUUGAAAGAGGAAAAAAAAUACAAGCAAUAUCUUGAAAGGUUGAAGUAGUAAAUAUUGAGACUUUUUUUUUUUUUUUUUGUAAUAAAGGAUAAUAAUGAGAGCAUAUAAUUUUUGAGACAUUUAAGUAUAACAAUAUUUAGAAGAGUAGUAAUUGAUAUAUUUAUUUUUUGUACAAUAAUAAGUAAGUAGAAAAAUAUGUUUGUCAAAAAAUUGAGGGAAAAAAUAAAUAGAAUUCUUGGCCAAAGAGAGGAACAACUUCACUUUUCUAACAUAUAGUUUAUAAUAUAUAGAUUUUUAAGCACAGCAAUAUCUAAUAGCUAUGAAAAAUGUACCAUAGACAAUAUAUCUUUCAACCAUAGCAAAAUUUUAGAAUAUUGAAAUCAAAACAAUACAUUACAUUAAUGAAUUUUUAAUAUAUUGGAAACAUUCAAACUUUAUACUAAUAUGACCAUCUCUCUUGAUGAAUCUUUAAUUUCAACAUAAUUAAGCUUCUUUCUUCAUUUUGAUGAACUUGUACUAAACUAAUGUGAACAUCUCUUCGUAAUGAAUUUUUGAAGAAUAUAUCUUUGAUCUUCAUCAAAGUGAAGGACAUAUCAUGUCGCUAUCUUUUCUAUGAUUUCUUAUGGAAAAGAUGAAGAAUAAAAUUUAUAAAAAAGAGAGAAAAAAAACUAUGCUAAUAGAAAAAAAAAUGAAAAAUAAAUAUUCAACAUCUGCAUGGAUGAUUGUUACUAAUAGAUUUGAUAAGAAAGGAGUUGAAAAGGCAUGUUAUUUAAGUAGAGAAAAUAUAAAUAGAUGGAGGUUUUUUGUAACUCAUCAAAUAUAAUUAGAAUAGUAAAUAUGAUUGAAUUUCUUAUUGGGAAAAAUUGUAUAAAAUAGCAAACUAUUAAUUCAAAUUAAAUGCCAUAACCACAGUUUCAUUUAAUUCUAAUCCGUAGCAAACACUUUUUCAUUCGCCUCUCUCCCCAGAAAUCUCCCUCGCCACUCUCCCUCACCUCUCUCACUUUAUACAAACACAAAUGUAUAAAUUGUGUUUGUGUUUGUAUAAACCGAGAGAAAACUAUAUAUACAAAUACAUAUCUCUUCGUUCUAUACACUUGUAAUUAUACAAUACAAAUCUUUCUCUGCCCAGUUCUCUUUUUCCUUGCUCUCUUUCUUGUUUUAUACAAACACAAAUUAUACAAAAUACAAUGUAUAAUUUGUGUUUGUAUAAAGCAAGAGAGAGAUUUGAUAUACAAAUACAAUUGUUUUAACUCGAUUCAAUUGUAUGUGAAUUCAAGUUUUAUGCAGAUAUACAAACACAAAGACCAUAUGCAUAUACAAACACAAUUUUCAUAGACACAGACGCCUUAUUUAUACAAAUCGAUGUGAUUUAUACAAAUCAGAUGCCAACAAUUUUAUACAAAUCAAAGAUGUCUGCUAUUUUUUAACAGAUUUGAUGUUUCAUAGCAAACAAUGUUUGCUAUGGAGCGCAAAUAGCAAAACCGUAGCUAUAGAACGUUAAUAUGAUUUUUAUGUUUGCUAAACCUAAAACUUACUCUUUCUUUUUUAAUAAAGAAAAUAUUUUAUGAAAAAAAUAAGUCUGAAUGGAAGCCACAGAGAGGUGUCACAUCACAUCAUCUAUGUUUCUCCUUUAUAUUAUAUAUAGAUUGAGAAAAAUGUCAUAAAUAGUUUCUUAUCUAACUCCGCCCAAUAAUAUAUAUUCAAUUUAUAAAAUUGAUGAAUAAUUAAUUAUAUUGUGUUUAUUUAACCUUUGCUAUUAGAUACUAUUCAUUUUUAAAAAAUAUUUUGAUGAUUUAUAUUUAAUAGGGGUGAUUUGCUAAAAUUACCGCUAUUAUUUACUACUUCUUAGUCCCGGUGUCAAAACAGAGGGGGUAGAAAUACGUCCAAAACGAAACCUUAAAUAUAAACUUGUUGGAUUUAGUUCUUUAAGUAUUUAAAAAUUUAUCAAGUUUGGUCUUUAUUCAUUUUUUUUAUACUUAGGCUUAUAUUAUUAAAAAAUUCACCCGUUAGUGAAUUUAAAUAUUUUAAUUCAUUUUUUCAGUUUCUUAAUUGAAGAUUUAAUGUAAUUUUGAGUGUGAUAUAGGUAGGAUUUCUCCCACAUAUAUAAGAUAAUUUUAAUUGCUUGGUUUGAAGCACAGAUUAAUUACUUUCACUACAACUUCAAAUUUAGGACGACACCUUCCUGUGAAUUUAGGUGAUUAGGAUACUGGUGUAUCCGGUGCGGAGGAAAACAAUUUCUAUCAGAUUUUUUAAAAAAUAAAAUAAUAAACUUUUCUUGAAUUGUUAAAAAUUGAAAUUUUGUUGUUAAUAUUGUUUUAAAUAAUAAAAAGAUCAAUUUUACUGAUUGAAAAAACAAAUGCUCCACUUAGCAUUUCAGAUUAUCCUUAACUAAGUCAAAUAAAUUAUUAGCAUUUUAUAUGUAUACUACUACUUACAACGUUUAGUUGAGACCUUUGGAAUAUUUAGUCAUUGCAAAAAAUAAUAACUAGAAGUACAUGUUGAUCAAAAUAUAUCAUUAAUUCAUAAAUGAUCAUAUAUGUCCAUGAACAUACUGUCACAUAAUAUUGUACUUAAAAUAUUGCAACCUACUGCAAAAUCAAAAGUUGCACAUUUACUAAUUGAACGAUCAUUGACCAAUAUCAUGACUCGAGACUGACAUAAACCUACGAUCAACAUGGCCCAUUCCAGGACCAAGUGGGCCAGAAUGGUCGGCACCAAGACUAGGGCCAGGAUUCAAGUUGCCAUAAACAUGGCUCAUUCUAGGACCAGGUGGGCCAGAAUGACCGGCUCUAGGACUAGGGCAAGGAUUCAAGUUGCCAUAAACAUGACCCAUUCCAGGACCAGGUGGGCUAGAAUGGCCGGCUCCAGGACUAGGGCCAGGAUUCAAGUUGCCAUAAACAUGGCCCAUUCCAGGACCAGGUGGGACAGAAUGACCGGCUCCAGGACUAAGGCCAGGAUUCAAGUUGCCAUAAACAUGGCCCAUUCCAGGACCAGGUGGGACAGAAUGACCGGCUCCAGGACUAAGGCCAGGAUUCUGCCAAUUCCAGGACCAGGUGGGCCAGAAUGACCGGUUCCAGGACUAGGGCCAGGAUUCAAGUUGCCAUAAAUUAACAUGGCCCAUUGUAGGACCAAGUGGGCCAGAAUGGCCGGCUCCAGGACUACGGCUAGGAUUCAAGUUGCCAUAAACGUGGCCCAUUCCAGGACCAGGUGGACCAGAAUGGCCGGCUCCAGGACUAGGGCCAGGAUUCAAGUUGCCAUAAACAUGGCCCGUUCCGGGACUAGGUGGGCCAGAAUGGCCGUCCCUAGGACUAGGGCCAGGAUUUAAGUUACCAUAAACAUGACCCAUUCCAGGACCAGGUGGGCCAGAAUGGCCGGCUCCAGGACUAGGGCCAGGAUUCAAGUUACCAUAAACAUGACCUUCUUUGCAUGGGGCCGAAGAAGCCAGGUUAUUUACCUUCUUAUCCAUGUUGUUCAAUUGUCUUCUUGCUUCAAAACAUGGUGCAACACAAACUAACAUAGUAACCAAAGCAAUCAAAAGCAUAAAUAUUGCAAAAUGAGCCAUUACUAUUUGGAGAGUGAUGUCCAAUUAAAUAUUGGGAGCAAAAAGGAGAACAAAGAAGUAAUGAAAUGAAGGCAAAAACAUGUUAUUUAUAGACAACAAAAAACUACCGUUUAAGAAAUCUAGACUAUAGUUCAUUAAUUAGUAAUAAUUGAAAUUUUAAGAAAAAGAAGAGUUCUGCUUUGUGUAUCCUAUGAAGUGUCUUGGUGAUUGGGUAGGUACAGAAGAACUAAACUAGAGAGUAAUUGAUAAGCAGCCGGCGUUUGCUGUUCCCAUUAUAUAAACUUGCUUAUUGGCCCUCUUGCUCUACGUACAAUAUUAUGGUUGUGUCAUGUGUGGAUUAUGAAUAUAUGUUUAAUUCACUUGGAUGACUUGUUACGAAAUCUAAGAAAAUAAAAUAGUUUUUUUAAUCUUACAUUUUAAAUUAAAGUUUUUACAAUAUUUUACUUUCAUCACAUGACAUGUUUAAAUUCACAAAAUUAAAGAAUAUUUUGGUAUAUAUGACAUAAAUUUAUCUAGCCAAAUACGUUCUUUAUGAUUUUGUGGGUUAUGAUGAAUAUGUGUUCACUUCACUUCAUUCAUUCUGGCUUAGAUAAAGAUACUUUAGUUCUCAAUUUUUUUAUUAAAUAAGUAACGAGAGCAAAAAUUAAAACCCAUUAAAUUUGAGAAUAAAAAUGAAAUAUCACUCCAAAAUAAAAAAGACAAUUCGUGCAAUAACUUUAUUAGAGAUCUCAUAUUUAAAUUGUGACAACGACAAAAAGUCCUAUUAAAUAGUAUUUUUUUCUCUUGAACAAAUCUUACACAACACAAAUUUAAAUUAAUUUAAUUUAAUUUUAAUAUAAAUACCGAGCUCGAAAAACUAAAAACUAAGUUUAGAGAGAAACGAAGAGGGUCAAGAAAAUGCUCAUUGAUCAUUAAAGGCACGUGUACAUAUAUCAUAUUAAUAAAGUUGACUUAAGAAAACAUUAAAUAAGGGUAGAAUGGUAAAGUUACAUCAUGUUUUAAUGAAAGUGCAAAAGUAAAAAUGUAUUUCCAGGUGUUUCUUAAUUGAAUAUUUAAUGUAAUUUUGAGUGUGAUAUAUGCAGAAUUUCUCCCAUAUAUAUAAAGAUAAUUUUAAUUACUUUGUUUGGAGUGGAGAUUAAUUACUUUCACUACAACUUCAAAUUUCAUAUGACACCUUCGCGUAAAUUCAGGUGAUGAGGAUACUUGUGUAUUUGGUGAAGAGGAAAACAUUUUCCAUCGAAAACAAUUUAUUUAAAAAUAAGAAAACUGGCUUUUUUGAAUAGCUAAAAUCAAAAUGUUAUAGUUAAAUGGAGUAGUUUUUACUUAUAAAUUGUAUAUAUAUAGAGAGAGUGUUUUACAAGUUAAUAUCUUAAAAAGUUACUCAACUUAGAUAAUUUAUCUAGUAAAGUCAUUAAACUUUAUUUUGUAUCAAUAAAAUCACUCAACUAAAUUUAUUAUUAAAAACAAUCUAAUAUGACAAAAUAAACUAUUUUUUAUAACAGGUAAACAUGAACCCCACUAAUAAAUAACUUUAAAAACUCAUUAAAAUUAUUUUCACAGACAAACUUAAUUAGUUAAACAAAUAACCUUAUGAUACUACAAUAAACAAAUAUACACUAAUACUCUAAUCAAAUUCACGACGAUAACUCCAAGCACACAAAAUUCAACUUUAUUUUCUCAUUUCCAACUUUUUUUCUGGUUUCAGAAAGUUGUGAGGAUUUGUAAAAAAAAAAAUCUGCUGUGUUUCUGGCGAAUUUCAGAAUGCAAUUUUUUUUUAAUGCUUUUUCUAUGAAAUUUUGUGAAAUCCUUAAUUUUUUGGAAUAUAAUACGUACUUUAACUUUUUUUCGCUAGAAAUGAUAAUUGUAGAGCAGGAAAUUCCAUAUGAUAUUAUUGUAAUGCCAUAAGAGUAUUUAUUUCACUAAUUAAGUUUGCCUGUAAAAUUUGUUAAUGAGUUUUCUUUAAAUUUAUUUAUUUAUGGAAUAUAAUACGUACUUAACUCUUUUCGUUGGAAAUGAUAAUUGUAGACCAGGAAAUUCCAUAUGAUAUUGUUGUAAUGCCAUAAGAGUAUUUAUAUCACUAAUUAAGUUUCCCGUAAAAUUUGUUAAUGAGUUUUCUUUAAAUUUAUUUAUUUGUGGGAUUUAUAUUUACAUGGUAUAUAUAAAAAUAAUUUAUUUUGUCAGGUUAGUUUAUUUUUAAUGAUAAAUUUAGUUUAUUGAUAUAAUUUUAUAAAAAAACAAAGUUUAAUGACUUUUCUAUAUAAAUUCUUAAAAUUGAAUGAGAUAUUAACUCGUGUUUAAUUUACUUGACCAACUAAUAACUAAGUCAAAUCAAUAAUUGACAUGUUACAUGUAUACUAUCUGAAAAAUUAUAUCGUAAAAUAUUAGUCAAAUUUCCUAUAGUUUGUUUCUAAAAAGAAAAUUAUGACAAUUAAAAAUGGUCGGAAAGAGUAGUACCACAUACAACGUUUUGUUGAGACUUUUGGAAUAUUUAGUCCAUGCACAAUAUUAAUAAUUAGAAUUACAAGUUGAUUAAAAUAUCACAUUAAUUAAUUAAUAAGCAUAUAUGUGCAUAAACAAACUGUCACAUGAUAUGGUACUUUUUUUUUUACAUAAUAUUGUACUUAAUAUAUUGCAUCCUACUACUAAAUAGAAGUUGCCAUUUACAAUGACUUCAAGUUACGAUAAACAUGGCCUUCUCCUGGACUAGGGCCUGAAUGGCUUUCUGAGUUAACAAUUUCAAUACUUGAGACUGAUUUCAAAUUGCGAUGAACAUUGCCAAUAGCAGGAGUUGGGACUGACUUCAAAUUGCGAUAAACAUGGCCUUCUCCAGGACUAGGGCCUGAGUGACUUUCAGACUUAACAAUUCCAAUACUUGAGACUGAUUUCAAAUUGUGAUGAACAUUGCCAAUAGCAGGAGUUGGGACUGACUUCAAAUUGCGAUAAACAUGGCCUUCUCCAGGACUAGGGCCUGAAUGACUUUCAGACUUAACAAUUUCAAUACUCGAUACUGAUUUCAAAUUGCGAUGAACAUGGCUGAUUCCAAGACUAGGGCGAUCAAAAUUACCUAUUCCAGGACUGGGGACUGAUUGCAUAUUGUGAUCAAAGUUUCCAAUUCCAGGACUUGGAACUGAUUGCAUAUUGUGAUCAAAAUUUCCAAUUCCAGGACUGGGGACUGAUUUCAUAUUGUGAUCAAAAUUUCCAGUUCCAGGACUUGGAACUGAUUCCAUACUAUGCUCAAAAUUUCCAAUUCCAGGACUAGGGACCGACUCCAAAUUGCGAUCAACAUGGCGACCAACAUAUUGUUUUUUCGUAUUUACUAAUAUGACGUGACCUUGUUUGCAUGGGGCCGAAGAAGCCGGGUUAGUGACCUUCUUCUUAUCCAUGCUGUUCAAUUGUUUUCUUGCUUCAAAACAUGGUGCAACACAAACUAACAUAAUAACCAAAGCAAUCAAAAACAUAAAUAUUGCAAAACGAGCCAUUACUAAUAUUUGUAGAGUGAUGUCUAGUUCAAUAUUGUGAGCAAAAAGGAGAUAAAAGAAGUAAUGAAAUGAAGAGAAGUGAGUGUAUUAAUAAAAAAACAAGUUAUUUAUAGACAACAAAUUUAGUUCAUUAAUUUUUAAGAAAAAGAAGAGUUUUGGUUUGUGUAUACAUAUCCUAGGAAGUGUCUUGGAAAUUGGGUAGGUACAGAUGAACUAAACUAGAGAGUAGUAAUAAGCCGCCGGCAUUUGCUGUUCCCAUUAUAUUUGCCCUCUUGCUCUACAUACAAUAUUUAUGGUCGUUGGGAUUAUGAUGAUAUAUGUUCACUUCACUUUGGAUGAUCUAACACGAAAUUAAGGGAAAAAAAAUAAAAAUUUAAUCUUCCGUGCUUUUAACAUAACUUAUUUAAAACAUAACUUUAUCUAGUCAAAUACGUUCUUUAUGGUUGUGUGGAUUAUGAUGAAUAUAUGUUCAAUUCACUUCGCUCUUAAAUAUUACUCCCUUCGUUCCUUUUUAUAUGUCAUCUUUUUCUAUAAAUAGUUAGUCCAUAAUACUUGUCAUUUCAUAAAAUCAAUGCAUAAAUUACCAUAUUGUUCCUUUUUUACCCUAGUGAGUUAUUAGCCUUGAAAAUAUACAUUUGAACAACUUAGAAAAACUAAGUAAAUGAUUCAUGUUCAUUGGUUAAAUAAAUUAAUCAAAAUAAAUUAAUUCAUAUUCAUUGAUUGAAAACUUGAGUUUCAAAAAAAUUAAAUAAGGGUAGAAGGGUAAAAUUACGUCAUUUCUUAAUGCAAGUACAAAGUAAAAAGGCGACAUAUAAAAAGGGACGGAGGGAGUACAACGGAAUCUGAAAAAUUACUACAAAAUUAUGUCAGGUGAGGUAAAAAUUCCCUAAACUUAAACCGAACAAAUUAGUUCUGGCUAGAUAAAAAUACUUUGGUUCACAAUUUUUCUAUUAGAUGAACAAUAGAAACCAAAACUAAAAAUUGAGAAUAAAAAAUAAAUUCACUCGCAAAUAAAAACGACAAUUCGUGCAAAAACUUUAUUAGAGGUGUCACAUUUAAAUUGUGACUAUGACAAAUGAAUCUUACCUAACAUAAAUUCAACCUAAUUAAAUUAAAUUCUAAUAAAAACAUCGAACCUCGAAAAAUUAAAAAUAAGUUUUGAAAGAAACGAAGAGGGUCAAGAAAAUGCACAACGUUCAUUAAAGGCACGUGUAUAUAUAAUAUAUACAGUGAACUUGUAUUUUUGAAAUCUUAAUUUUUAGUAAUAUGGUCAACAUUUACCUUUCUUUUCCAUCCACAAAAUGCGGUUGAAACCUUCGAGUUCAUGAUACAUGUUGUGACAAAAUUGACAACGAUUGACUUAUUGCGUUACACGAAUUAAAACAGUAGGAAAAAAUAUAUUUUUUCUAAAAAGUAUACGAUUUUUUACUAAUUUUUUAAAUAUAUUUUGAUAUGUAAAUAAAAAUAUUAUAAUAUAACUAUUUGUAUAUAAUCUAAAUCGGAUAUUAUAAGCUUAUAAGGAUGGGGUAGAGGGUGAUGGGAUGGGCCGCUAUAGGCAGUGGCGGAAUAUCCAGAAAUUGCACUAAGUACAUUUUUUUUUUUUGGACGAAUGAGUGUAUUAAAAUUUUUAAUAAGUAAUAUUAAUUUUGAAUUAUUUAAAAAAAUAACAAAAGCUCUUUUUAAAAAGUGAAAAAUAAAUUGUUGCUAAUAAAAUUCAAACACGAGCACUUUUAGUAUUGACUCUUUCAAUGCGUCUGAACCAUUGGGCAACAACAUAUUGUUGUGUCAAGGGUGUCCAUAUUAUAUUAUUUAAUCAAUUUGUGUAUCAUUUUACUUGUAUGUACAAUAUUAUUUUUCGACGAAGGGUGUCCAAUUGAACACAUUGAUAACUACGUAGCUCCGCCCCUGGCCGCUAUAGGAAAAUCAUGGCCCAUAAAUUGGGAGGAGACAAUAAUACUGAGAUGUUCACUUCUAGCUCAUAGCCCCUUAUAGAGUCAAUAUGAUUCAAAAUAUUUUCUCAUGCUUUCACUAGAAAAAUAAUGUUCAUGAUUACUUUUAAAACACUUUUUUAUUUAAAAAUCAAAAUAUUUCGACCAAUUGACUAUAAAUAAAAAAAUAUUUUUCUUCGUAUCGAAUUCGAACCUAUACUAAAACAAGGACAAGAGGAGUUGCAUGCAUGGUUGACAUUCUCGUUUUUAUUGCUGACCUUUGCAAGGCAAAUAAACAAUGUUCCAUGCGCUAAGCAAAAUGGAUAGUUACGUAUAUGACUUAAUUAAUUAAUUAACACUCACACACUAACCAAAAUGGAUCAGUUACGUAUUGGAGUAGUAUUAAAAAAAACACUUAAGAGACAGUUGACAUUUUAAUUAUCUAAGCAAUAUUUUUAUAAGUAACAGUACUAUGAUUUAAAAAAAUAUUUAUGCACUAACUAAAAUCUUGAUGAGCUUCUAAAUUUCUCAAAACAUUUGGAUCAAAGGUCAAUAAUACUCUAUCUGUUAUAAUUUGUUUGUCUUAGUUUGAUUUGGCGCAUAAAUUUUUAAAAUAAUUUAUUUUUUAAAAUUUUAUCAUCUUAAAUUAAAUAUAUAUACAUAUAAUAAUAAACGGAAUAAUCCUUUAAUUUUGUGUUUUUUUCUUCCUUAAUAUCUCCCAAAUGAGAUCCAAUUUCUUGACUAUAUAGUUCCGUGUUGAGGGGCUUUUACUAAUGUAUAUACAUACUACUAUUGAAUCUUGUUGAUAAGCAUGUUGACCCGUAGAGUAUUUAUCGAGCGAAAUAUGAUGCACGUAAAUUUAUGAUUUAUUCGUAAAAUUAGAUGUUUAUAUGUAUGUUUUUAGAAUUGUUGUAAUGUUAUUUGUUGGUAGCUAUGUGCUGCAAAGUUGACGGAAUGAUACAUACAUUUAAUUAGUUGAAUGUGGAGUUAUUUAUCUAGAAGAAUAGAAAUUAGAUUCUAUUUGAUAUUUUAAUUUUAUUUUUAACGAGAUAUUCAUAUUCUAGAUCCGCCUCGGUGGAGUGAGUCACUAGUGUCAAAGUUGGAGAAAGUGCACAAACUUUUAGCUUUUUAUUCUCAUUUCGUAGAAGGAAUUGAAAUUCAUGUUAUAAGUACUGUUCAUAUUUUUCUCUCUUUUUGGGAAAAAAGAUUCAAAGUAGAGAUAGAGUAUACUUUGCGUGCACACCAAAAUUAAGUCACUGCGGAUGAUAUGAUGUCUCCUUAACGAACAUUAAUGUACAUGUUUUAGUGCAUUUACGAAUGCGUUCAAAGAUAGAUUUAGAAUUUAAAAUACUAAAUUUUACAAAUUUGAAAUUCUUGGACUAGAGUGUAAGUGGUAAUAACUUGUCACUAUUGGUACAAGGGGAGGAACGAAAAACUCUAUUUUUAGUUUUUCUUUUGCUUAAAUUUUAGUACCGUUUGGAGAUUUAAUCCUUAGAAUUAUGUGCCUAAGAUGGUAAGGAUCUUUAUAGUCAUAUUUAUUUACUGAUUUUACCUCCUUCUGUAAUAGUGACUAUUCUAUUUAAUAGAAUAUUAAGUAUUGUAGUUAUAGAAUUUAUUCGUCCUUUUUUGACUUUUUGAAAAUGACUUAAAUAGCUAUGUUUUCAAAGGUAAACACCCAACUGACGUAAAGGGUUUUUCAAAAAUGUAAGGAAGAAGACAUUUGAAAGGCUUACCACUAUCUAAUAGGUAAUCUGGUGGUAAAAUCAACUACUACACAACUAUAUGUCAAGUCAUGAGCAAUAAUAUCGAAAUCAAGCCAUCGUUUAUCUAUAGGCAAAGGGACGAAAGCACGACAAUUGCUCUAGAAAAAAAAUAAAGUAGAUUAAAAUUAUGAAGCUACCUAGUCAUACUAUACAAAAAGAAAAAUGCGUCAUUUGCAUAUAGUCAUGUUAAUUAUGGAUAUAGACUAGAGUACGAGGAACCCGAAAAAAAACAUAAGGAAAUAUUUACAACUUGAGGUUCUAUAUAUUAAUGCGGAAUUAGACAUACAUUUUUUUUUUAAAUCGACUUUAUGUUACUAUCACCAAUUGCCUAAGAGGUUUCUCAUCACAAGAUCACUUGUGGAGUUGUAAAUUCGAUCUUCACAACAAACACACUCUAAUCUAAAAAUGUUUGUCUCUCAAAAUUUUAUAGUAGAACAAAGUAACAUUUAACUCCCAUUUUAUUAAAUACCUUCAUAACUCUUUUUCCAUUAAACAAGAGAGUUACAUGUUACUACAUUCAUGUGGAGAGUAACUUAUUUAAUAGCUCCAUUAAGGGUACAUUUACAUUUAAUUAGUUCUCCUUAACUUAACUUUGCACUAACAAUGGCUCGAUUAGACAUGAUUUGUUCCAUUGCUUUGAUCAUUCUACUAGCCAAAAUAUCAAUGUAGCACAUGUGUGGCCCAGAACAUCUAUGUGCAUUAAUUAAAAACAUGUUAUAUUAUCAUAUUUUCACGCUCUUUAAAAGCUAAAAUAAAAUUUAAUUGCAAAAUAGAAUUUGAAUAGCAAAACUAGGCAGCAAAUUUGAAUGUAAGAAAUGUAAAUUUGUGACUUUAACUGAAAUUCCAGACACUGAAAAUUCUUUUUUUUUGUAAGCUAAUUCAGAGUACGUUUGAUGAAGGGUCACUAUUACCAUUCAAAUAUGUUUUUAUCUUUUACUAUACUCUAGAUAUACGUGAAGGUGACAUGUCUGCAAAUUGGUGUUUGUUCUACAAUAAUAUCUGGACAAAAAGGAGAAGCAAAAUAAAUAAAAAAGGAAAAAAAUAAUAAAAGGAUAUUUAAGAAUUAAAAUGUCAAAAAUCUUUCUAUUACAUUUAAAAUUUCGUGCCAAAUCGAACCAAGAAAUUCAAAUAGAGGGAGUACUUAUAUUCCAAAAUAUUUUGCUAGUUGGUCCCCUACUUUCCAUUGUGUGGGUAUAUAUAUAUAUAUUACGAUAACGUCCAUGCUAGUUCAUAUAUGUUUCGUUCAUAAAUAGUACUAUAUAAAUAUCGAAUAAUUAUAUUCAAAGAAAAUAUUAUCCAGUACUUUUUGUCUCGCGCAGCUAAGAGUUGGAACUUUAUCUUUCUUUGGAGCUAAAAAGAGCUAGUAUUUAUUACCAUCCAAUGGUCAGUAUCCAUAUUGAAAUUUAUUUAAAUUUGAACUCGUGCAUUACAGAUCUAUUCUAAAAGAUGAUUUUUUCUAUUUCUAGAGUUUCUGAUUGGAAGAAUCCCAGCCAUUUCAACACAAGCAUGUCGUUCAUUUUCUCCUAUUAAGGAUGCUACAACAUACAAAGCAGAAUUAAUCUCCAUAAAAUAAUUUUGUUUUUCUCCAAAUUGAUACAAAGUUAUAAUUUUUAAUAGCACAAUUAGACAAUCUAAUCAACAUUUAAUCUAUACAUUUCAUAGCAACGUACACUACAAGGGAAUUAUCUUCACCAUUGAAUAUAAGUUAGCCCUUUAUAUAAAAGUGAAUGCACAUCACACAAGAAGAAGAAAUCCUUGAAUCUAAACAACAAAAAAACCUGUAAUCCCUUUAGUGAAAAUUCUGACUCUGUCACUGUCUCUAAAAAUAACAAGAAUUUGGAUAUGAAUGAAAAUAAUAUAUUACCAUAACCUUAAGCAAGAAUUGACACAAUCUUUCAGCCAAUGUGAUUUACCCUUUUCAGAGCUCAAUAACUUUGAUGGAGAUGGAGAUGUCAAGUAAAUUCUCUUAGGAAGAACUAAAGGAGACCAUAUGCUACUCUGUUCAUAAUCAAAAUCAAACUCCGUAGCAUCAAAAUAUUUUCCCAAAAGUCUAUCGGAUGUUGAUUUUGAAACUAGUUGAACAAGCCCGCUAUCAUCUAAUUGUUCUAAGGACGAUAAUGAUGACAUUGAUAUUGACGGUGAUGGUGGUGGUGGUGAUUCUGAGACAAAAUUUGAAUUUUUCACUGUUGUUUGAGCAUUUUCUUGCAUUUCAUUUUCAACUAAAACAGCAAGUUUUAAGUUAUUUAUAGGCAGCUGUAGUUUUUGUAGUUUUUAAAAAUGGAUCCUUUUUCGUAUUUCUGUAGUAAAUGAGACGCUCUAUUUUAGUCUCCUACAUCUUUACGAAUCAAUCACUUUCUCCAUUCCUUUUUAGUUGUCGUGAUUUCAACAAUAAGAACUUUUGACAAACAUUUUGUGAUGUAUUUUUUUAUCAGAUAUGCAAAAUAUUGCAAUUUAUUGUACUUUUCGUAUAAUUUUUUAAUAUCUAAAUUUUUAGUUUAAAAUAUCGAAUUAAUGUAAUCUAAUUUAUUUUAAAAAAAAUUAGUCAAAUUAACUUUUAACAUAUGACAACUAAAAAGGGACGGAGGGAAUACUAAUUUAUUUCCUGAAAUUUCGCCAGGGAAUAUUCUCAUAAUUUGAGAAAUAUUUAAAAGCUUUUGUUUAUGAAGUAAAAAAAAGAAUGUAUUUAUUUUAACCUUUACAAUUGAAAAAUAUUUUCUUUAUAUUGAGUUUCAAAUUCAAACUCCAUAGUAAAUUUAAAAUUUUAUGACAGACUAUUAUUUUUUAAAAGAAGGCGAAAAAAUAUUGACUAAUGAACGUUAUUUCUACUUCAUAAGUUCAUAGUACGAUAUCAUUGCCAAAAAGCUAUAAGUAUAUGAUGUUUAUACCAAGCAAAAUAAUUUAAUUUAGUACAAUAGUUAGAUAUAUGUAUCGUUGAUACAUGAUAUAUGCCUAAUGAUAUUAUUAGAGAUAAAUCUAGGAUGUAGUUUUGGUUAAAGAAUAAAUGUGAUCUUAUUAUUAUAUCAAUAUAUCAUAUAUAUAUAUAUAUAUAUAUAUAUAUAUAUAUAAAAUUAUCAAGAAUGUGGUGCAGUAGAUAAAGUUGCUCCUUAAUUAGAAGUCUCAAAUUUAAGCUUUGGAUAUGAAAAAAUCCUUGAUAGGGAGCACUUCUCUCCUAAUGAAGCCUUAUAAAUAUAAUUCAAAUUAAUCAAACUUUAGUACAGAUAAUAAAAUAUCGAUUAGAGAAAAAAAAUCGAGUGGACUUGAUUUUGCGUCAUAGCUUAGUUUUCUGGAGCUAUCUUGCCUUGGGAAACAGGUAUGCAGGGGCGGAGCCAGCAGUAUGUCAGGGGUUCACCCGACCCCUUUUCCGCGGAAAAUCAUACUAUUUAUAUAUGUUAAAAUUAUUUUUUAUGUAUAUACCUUAAAUGUCGAACCCCCUUCGGUUAGUUCGUAUAUUUACUUUUUCAAAUUUUGAAUCUCUUAUUAAAAAUUCUAGCUUCGCCACGAUAGGUGUGCAUGCAUAUCCGAAAAUAUAUCGUUAAAUAUUUGAAGUGGCGUAGGUGCAUGUAGCAAAAUUGUGUUGAAUUGUACAGUACUUCUUUUUUUUACUCAGAAUUUUAAAUAUAAAAACAAUUUUAAUAAAUUGAGCUUUACUUCUAAAGUUAAUCUGUUGAUAUUUAUAUAUUUUAAUAUUAAAAUUAAAAUAUUAAGUGAAUAUGUUAGGGGGUAUAAAGGGAGAAGAAUGUGGUUAUUAUUGUAGUGUAACUCUUGUAAUCGUUAUUGUCAUGAUCUACCAUUAAUUUUAUCCAUUAUUCUACUUUAGUAUACCUUGUAACGUAAUUUAUAUAACAUUUGGUUAUUCAUUUACCUAAUUUACUAUCCCAUAAUCUUCAUAUUCGUUGUAAGAAAGAAUUAUGCACCUAUAAAUAAUGUGAUUUUACUUUGUUUUGAAAAACAAGAAAUGUACAAGAGGUAUAUAAGAAUAUAUAGAGUGAAAAAUAUGACGUGUACUAUAUUGUGUUUAUAUUGAGGUGAGUGGGUGAAAGAAAGAGUUGAGACCAAAAAUAAUAUUCUAAGGCUUCGACUAAUUUACUACACAAAAGAAGUAAAUAUAUAUAUAUAUACUAAUUUUUUAUUUAUUAUUAUUAUUAUUAUGGUAAAUAUUGCACCUAGAUAAUAUGUUGCUAAGAUUGUGAGAUUAUAAUAAUUUUAAUACUUAAUAUAGGGAAAAAGGAUGGAUUUACCCCCAAACUUUGAUAAAUGGUACGUAUAUGCCCUCCGUUAUACUUUGCGUCCACCUAAGCCCCUGCCGUCCAAUUAUAGGUACAUACAUGCCCCUCUCACUAACGGUCCCCUCAUAUUGUACACGUGUCUUAAUCCUAAUCAACUACCCGUUUGACCUUUCUUUUUAACCCAUAAACUAACAACCCGCCCCAUAAAUCCAAUACCCACCCGAUUCCCUCUAAGAUAUAUCCUAAUUAAAAGACCCAAAUCUCCAUUGGAGAACAGCUUCAAUUUGGGCUGUGACAAUUCGUUGGGUGUGUUAAAUCAAGGUGGGAAUGGGAUGAUGAAUACUGGAUUAUAAUUAUAAUAAAUAGCUUUAACACACCCAAUGAAUUAUAAUAAAUAGUUUUAAUCCCGAAUUCGCCUUGCCACCAUUGUCGACGUUCCUCAUAUCCACAAACUCAUCCACCAGAUGGCCGUGUUUGAGCGACUCACCCAUCUCUUCUCCGCCACAGAAUCUUCACUUUCCUCCACUCUCUUCCCUGAAAACUCCCCACCUCCUUCACCGUUUUCCUUCUCGAAGUUUCUCAAACCCCUUUCCCUCUAAUCGACCAAAACUACCCAAAUUUCAGCCCCAUUCAUAAAACAGUAAAUCUGGAUCUCCCGAUUACCGACCCACAAGCUGAAACGUUCAGAUAGUGUGGAAAUGAUGUUGUGGUUGCUGGGUUUGUGUUGUUUUUUCCUAAUUAUUCGUCCUUCUUAGCGAAACCUGGGUUUUACAUCGAGGAUAUAUUUGUGGGAGAGUGUUAUAGGAGGAAAAGUUUUAGAAAGAUGUUGUUGUCAACUGUGGCUGCUCAGGCGGCGAAAAUGGGGUAUGGAAGAGUGGAAUGGGUGGUUCUAGAUUGGAAUGUUAAUGUGAUCAAGUUUUAUGAAGAAAUGGGAUUAAAUUAUAAUUAUAAUAAAUUGUAUUCAUCAUCCCAUUCCCACCUUGAUUUAACACACCCAACGAAUUGUCACAGCCCAAAUUGAAGUUGUUCUCCAAUGGAGAUUUGGGUGUUUUAAUUAGGAUAUAUCUUAGAGGAAAUCGGGUGGGUUGUUAGUUUAUGGGGCGGGUUGUUAGUUUAUGGGUUAAAAAGAAAGGUCAAACGGAUAAUUGAUUAGGAUUAAGACACGUGUAUAAUAUGAGGGGACUGUUAGUGAGAGGGGCAUGUAUGUACCUAUAAUUGGACGGCAGUGGCUUAGGUGGACGCAAAAUAUAACGGAGGGCAUAUACGUAUCAUUUAUCAAAGUUCGGGGGUAAAUUCGUCCUUUCCCCCCUUAAUAUAUAAUGUAUUUAUUAACUAAAUCAUGGUUAGAGAUUUACUAUGAGAAACUAAACCUUAAUCAUUUAUUUUAACCUAUACCAUGUGUCACUAAUCCAAAUAGAAACUUGGGGGAAAUAAAGAGAAGAGAAAUGGAGAGGAGUCGAAUACUAAUCUUUCAAUCUUAAUAAGCUCACCACACUCACACACCUGAAUAUACAUACAAAAUUACUCCAUUCGUAUCUGUUUUAUUUUAGUUGUCAUGAUCUUCUUUUUUAAAGUCAAAUAAUAAAAAAAUUAGGGAAAAAAUCUGAAAUAUAUUCGAACUUUGAUCGAAAUUGUUGUAACAAUAUCGAGCUUUGGAAAGGACCUUUUACCCCUGACACUAUUUAAUAGUGUAUUUUAAAGGUAUAUAUGUGCCCACGUGAACAUCAUAAAUAUUACAUCAUUAUAAAUAGUAAUAUGUCCACGUGGGAACAUAUAUACAUUUAAAAUACACUAUUAAAUAGUGCAGGGAUAAAAGGUCCUCAAUAAAGUUUGGUAUCGUAACAACAAUUUUGACCAAAGUUGAAGUAUUUUUCACACCCUUUUCCUAAAAAUUUAACUAAUAUUUUAUGAUAAUACGUUAGUAUAUUUUAAAUUUGUAAUUUAUAGUACUUUCUCAUACCGUUUUUGAAUAUACAACUAAAAAGACGGAGGAAGUAAACACUAUAGAUGAAAAUCACUCCACUCAAACCACUCUCAAACUAAGAACACAAGGAAACAAAAAAAAAAAAACAUAAAGAUGAGCUUCCAGCGUUUCUACGAUACAUGGUUUGAUCAACUGAAAGAAAUCGUACGCCAACUGAGCCAAGUUCCCCGCCCCGCCACCAGUGAACAACACCGUGAAUUGCACCAACAACUCGUUCAAAAAGUUGUGUCCCAUAUCUACGAGUACUAUCGAGUUAAAUCCUUAGCUGCAAAAAAUGAUAUCCUCUCCGUUUACUCCGCCCCAUGGUCUACAUCUCUUGAACGUUCUCUCCAUUGGAUCGCCGGCUGGCGACCGACCACCGCUUUUCACCUUAUCUACACUGAAUCCAGCAUUUUGUUUGAAUCUCACAUUAUCGAUAUUCUCCGUGGCCUCCGAUACGGAGAUCUCGGUGAUCUAUCGCCGGAUCAACUCGCUCGCGUUAGCGAACUUCAAUGUGAAGCUGUUCAGGAAGAAAAUUCUAUCACUGACGAAUUCAACGACUGGCAGGCACGAAAUCCUCAUCUCUCUCUUCCUUUUUCUUUUUUUUUUCUAAGGCCACUCUGUCAUUUACAAUAAUCAAUUCACAAUUCCAAGUAUUCAAUUUCAAAAUAAUUGAGAAAUUAGAUCUUAGUAGCUCAGUUGGUUGUCUGAUCCCCAAAUCAUCAAUUUUGUUCUAAUUAAGUCAAUUUUAGUCCAGAAUAGCGAGUAAUUUGUUGAAUUUAUCGUACAUGUAGGAUAGUGCAAGUGAGAUACUUGGUUUGAUGGGAGACAUAGAAGGGAAGAUGGAGAAGCUAGUUGAGAUUUUGGAGAAGGCGGAUAAACUGAGGUUGAAGACGAUAGAGAAUUUAGUAGAACUAUUAACGCCACAGCAAGCAAUUGAAUUUCUUAUAGCAUCGGCGCAUUUGCAAUUCGGAAUCCGUAGAUGGGGAAUCAAUCAUGAUCGUCAAAGAGAAAAUCCAUGAACAUUUUCGAGUUCAUCAUGCAGACUGGUUUGCAUGUUGUUAGUUUUUUUUUUCUUUUAAGAUGAAAUUUCUCAAAUUAGAGAAGAAAUUUUGGAUUUUUUUAAUUAUUUUGUUUUUUUUUGUUGUUGGUUUUUUUUUUCUUUUUUCUUUUACAAGUGAAUGAGUGGCUGUGACAGGUGUUAAGCUAACAAGCAGUUGAUCCCAUGCAGAGAAACACGUGUUAUUCAAGCAGCGCGCCACAAUGUGAAGACGUGGCGCACUGAUGAACAGCGGUAAGGGGUAAUUAUGUAAACCUAGAGUAGGAACUUUUGUUGAGCCUGUAUCAACUAAUCCAGAAUGUAUUGGAAAAUAGUAUUUUUAAGAAUGUUACACCCUCUUUUUAAAUUUAGAUUCCUGCACUGCGACGAAAAUAAUUUUUAGCGAUAAUAUAUAUAUAUAUAUAUAUAUAUAUAUUAAUAACGAGUGUUAGAAACUUUUAUCGACAUUACUCCUUCUGUUUCAUUUUUGUUUCAUUUUGUACGGUGCUUAAGAAGUCAUAAAUAAGAAAAUAAUUUUACUAAUUCGAAUAGCUAAUAUAGGAUAAUUAUUUUUAGUAUAAUGAUCAACUAAUAUGGGACGGAGGGAGUAGUUAAUCCAAUAUCAUUAUAGAUUUUUAAGGCAUUUACAGAGUUUUAGUUGCUUAAAAAAUAUAUUUAGUUAAUUAUUGUUAAAAAAUAUCUUUAGUGUAAUGUAGUUGCUCCUUGCUUGGAGACGUAAAGUGGUCUUCUCAGUUCAUUUUUAUUUUAUUUGUAUGCAAACAAAUAGAUAUUCAUAAUUUUUUUUGUCUAGUUAAAAAAUUAAAAGAUAUGUUUAUCACUUACUUUUUUAAUUUAUCUUUAUUCACGUAUUGCAUUUCUCAAAGUAUUAACUUUAUUAUAUUUUUUAAAAGGUCGUGUAAAAUUGUCAUGUUAUUUAUUAAUCGACUACUGAAUAAGUAAAGAAUAAAUUUUAAAAAAGUACUUUUUUAAAACAAAAAAUUAGAAUGUUUUUAAGUGCUUAAUUAUUGUGAAUUAAGCUACUGUUUAUGUUUGCUUUAAAGGUGACAUUUUUGUUUCAUAAAAAAAUAUAUAUUUAAAUUCAUACUUAAAAUUAGCUAGUUAAAUUUUCACAUUUCAAAUGAUGUCAUCUAUUAGAGCUGUCAAUAUGGGCUAGGCCCAUUGGGCCGAUUUGACCUAAUCCGUGAUUUGAUAGGGUUGAGCUAUGAUUUUUAAAGCCCAUUCUUUUAUAUUCAUCAAUACCUAUUCCUUAAUGACCUUUUUUAUUUAUAUAUAUAUUUUAACAUCAAUAUGGGAUCAAAUAAACAUUACUCCAUUAUUAAUGACAAUGAUUCACUUAUAACUUUUAUAUAUAUAUAUUUGUUAUGCGUGAAAAAAAAUGAACUAAGCAUUAUAUAUUACUUAUAUUUACGAAUAGGAAGGAAGAGGUUGUUUCUAAGGAAUUCCAAUUUGUAUAAGUGAAAUUUCAGAGUAGUGUUGCAAUCAAAUGAGAAUUAAAGAGCAAAAAGAUCGUCAUAAAUGAAAGUUGGUUAUUUUUUAAAUAAAUAUUUCAAGAUUGGCUGAAUAUUAAAAGGUGGAUCAACUAGUAACUAACCCACACAACAAGUCACUCCAAACUUUAGGCCCGUGAGCCCAGUAGUCAUUUGCAUGUAUUGCACAUUCGUAUGGUCCGAGGAGAAUAAGAAUGCUGGAUUAAUUGUUUGGUAUGUGGGAUAAGGACAUAAGGUGAUAUGUUUUAGAACGUGAUUGGCACUCUUUUCCUUAUUUUAUGUCGGCCUUUAAUUUAUGUCCUUUUAGCUAAACAUUUUCUAACGGGAUGUAAAUUUCAUAAAUUAUGCCCUACGCUCUUAAAGAAGUUGUGCUUAAGUUCGAUUAACGAAAGCAAAAAUUAAAAAACGAUCUAUUUGAAUGACAAAGAUUAAAUAUCAUUCCGUUGGAAAGACAUUUUCACCAAAAGAAAAAGGCAUUUAUUAGAGGAGUAUGUUAUUUUUUUCUCUUUUUUUUCCUACCUAGAAUCAUAAAUGAAUUUUCCUAUUUUAAGGGGAAUUUGUUGUUGAUCAUACUUGGUGAAUGCAAAAAUAAGUAAAUGGGAAAAACACCAAAAAAAAAACACAUGUGUUCCAAAACGAAUCCAUGUUUCCAUUUUUGCACCAUCAUUGUUGUGUGUAUGGUAUGGUUCUAGAAAGGGCUUAUCUUAAUGGAGUAUCUUUUAAAGGUAAGGGCUCAACUCUAAAAUUGUGACUAAAAGGAUCAACAAACAUUAGAAAACAAGAGGAAACAAAAGAUAUUUAGGAACUCUUAAAAUUGAAAUUAUAAUGUUUGGUUAAGAAAAAUUAAAUUGAAAUAACAUUAUUAUAUUGAGGUCUUGUUGAACUUGAUUGUGAAGAAGAUGAAAAUGGUACAUUAACUUUUGAUUGGUUAAGUUGAUUCCAACCAUUAAAAAUUGUUAGAAUUGACAUUAUAAUAUUUGAUAUUAUGUGGAAUGCUUGAUAAUAUAUAUAUCAAGUGUUUUGAACAAUUUACGCUAAAAUUGUGACACAACUUGUGUUGAAAUUUCAACGAAUCACCAAGAUUUAAAUAUGAUAAUGCACGUUUUGCUCAUCCACUUGGUACUUUUUUGAUGAUAUCAAUUAGGAUUGUACUAAAGUUCUAAUGAUCAACGAAGAGUAAAAAAGUCUUUGCAGCCAACCAUACGUAUUAACAUGCUAGUUAUUCUUGUUAAACUUAUUUAAACAAGAUCAAAACUAUAAAAAAAAACAAAAAAAUAUAAACUAUUGUAUUUGUUCAAAUCGCAAUUUACUGAGGUCCAUAUACUUUAGAAAAAAUGAGUGGAAAUAUCAACUUUGGUGUCUUUCUAUACUUUCAGGAAAAAAAAGAAAUCAAUUUUUCCUUAUUCCCUCCUUUAUUAUUUUCAUUAUUAUAUGAAGAAUCAAAUGGCCACGUGGAAGCAUAUGGAACAAUAGAUGACCAAGGAAAAAGAGUUGAAUAAAUAAAAUAUUAGUAGAAAAUAGAGUUGAUUAAAAUUUUCACAUCUGGUUUAAUGUAUUUAGAAAAGAGUUGAAUUAAUAAAAUCUUGGAAACGAAGAUUUAUCUUUGUUUUUUGGAAUUCAUAUAGAUUGAAAUUGAGAAUAUAUUACUCCUUUAAUCUUAAUUCAUAUGAUAUUUUUCGCCUUUCGAUAUUUAAAUGAAUUCAUCUUUAAUUGUAAUUUUUUAAAAAUAUCUUAAAAUUAUUAAUUAUUAUAACUUCUAAUAUAUUUAAAUCAUUUUAAAAUGUAUAAUUUUUUGUGUUAAUAUUAUAUAUAUUUAUAUAUAUUCAAUUUUUUAAAAAAUGUACCCACAAAACGAAUAAUAUCGUUAGAUUUUGAGAGAUUUGAGCCGUCUAAUUUUGACCAUAUCAUAUCAUUUAUACUCGAACAAGAAAAAAAAA
rnacentral:lncRNA from 1 species